AUGUCUCGUGUUUCACCCACCUUCGUCGUCAUCUUCUCCUCCCUCAUUUUUCAUUACAACAUAUAUAUUAGCUACCUCGAUUGUCUUGCCACCCAGGGUUAGAAAUAAAGGUAGAACUGACCGAUCAAGAACAACUUCUUGUAUAUACCAAUGGCAGACUGGAGCAAUAUUGGAAACCUUGGGCUGGCAGCAGCAGUCGCCGUGGUUUCAACCGGCACAAUUCUCAUCUCCUUCCACCACAUCCGCCGCCUCAAGGACAAUACCAAGCUCAACAAUAUCACCGGUGUGCUAUACAUAUUGAUACAACACUAGUUGUAUAUAUUAAUUAUAGAAACAAAGAAAAUUCAUCAUGUUUUUCUUGUUGUAAAUAUCAAGCUAUAAGAUUACAUUACUUACCGCACCUUCCUUGUCAACCGGCGCAUGCAACACAAUUGAUGUGAAUAGCAAAAGAACAACAGAGCAGGACGAUCAAGAAGAAGAUCCAGUUCACCGAUGACGUGUUGGUGGAUCUCUCACCGGAGAACGAGGAGUACCCCAGCUGGCUAGACUGUAUGACCAUGACUGGUGGCCUCAUCCAGUCACCGCUAUGAAGGGUGCCUCGAUUCGAUAAUUUGGCAGGCGUGCGUAACUAAUUAUCUUGUAAUGUAGCUAGUCGGACAGCAAGAAAUUAAGCAGCAUUUUGCUGGCACAUCUAGUUAAGUUAAUUGUUAUUACCAACUCAUUUAUAAUAACUAAGGUGUUUAAUUCAGUACACAUCAAGAAUGUAAGAUGCUUGGGGACUGACUACAAUCUUAUGACAACUAUUUUGGUAGGCAUGCAAUGUUUGAUAAAUGAAAGGGUUCUUUGUGUUGGAGUCAGCAAGACCGAUUACUGACACGCAUUUGUUUUUUGAUGGAACAACCAUCGACGUGUCUUCUGUCGCCAAAGAAACGCCGGAAAAUCCAGCCAAGGGAGAAAUGACCCGCUUACAAGGAAAUUUGGCUGAAUAACCAUACAUGGCUCGAUUAUAUUGAGAAAAACAUGUGAAACCCCUCACAACAUACCUACCGAUAAACCAGGCCUAGAGAGAACUGCCAAAACAAGCCACGCCAGCAAAAGCCUACCCAGUAUAGCACACACACAAAUCACGUUCUUAACACCUCCAACAAUGCCACCAUCUAUCUUUCAUAGGGCCCAUGACCUCAGGUAUUCGAAUUCUCAUCUACAAUGUUCACCUUUUUAGGGUAUGCUAGUUCUAUAGUUUUCUGACUUUGAUAUCCUUCACAUGCUCUAUUGUAAGCACCAACGUAUAAACAUAAUACAUUCUUUCAUUAUAUUUAAUGAAGUGACAACUUAAAGUUUUCAUUGUGAGCAAUAUUUCCAAUUGAAGCUGAUUUAAAGGAAAACUUCGGCAACUUUCUAAGCUUUAGAAGGAAAUUUCAAAGAAAUAACGUGGCCACAUUUAGAGAAAUUAUCAAUCACCACCAGAAUGCAAUUAUAUUGAGAAUAAGGGUGAAGCCCACUGAUAAAUUCCAAAGAGACAGUGUCCCAGGCCUUUUUUGGAACUAGCGAAGGUGACAACAAUCUUGGAUACUGUACCCUCUCAGGUUUUGUUUGCUGACAUAUCAGCCAAGACUGAACUUGAGCCAAAAUAAAUUACUUCAUUCCAGACCAAGAGAAAAGAGCAUGAAUCCUCUUAUAUGUAACUGGAAAUCCUGAAUGACCACCCAAAGAGUUGUCAUGGGAAGCAGCAAAAAAUUUAUGAUGUAAUGCAGGUACAAGACCAACCCAUUUCCUCUCCUUAAAUCUCAAUAAUCCAUUGACAAGUUGGUAUGGAGUUUGGAAGCUGGUUGAACAACUAAUUGCUGCAUAAUUGCCGAUGCCUUCUUAUCAUGAGAAUAACUAUCCACUAUCUCAGAUAACCAAGUGGGUUGAGCAAUUGAAACGAAGUAAAGCUGAGAAGGAUCUGGUGGUCUUCUAGAUGAUGCAUCAGCUACACUGUUUUCACUUCCUUAUUUGUACUGUAUCUGAUAAUUCAACCCAAGAAACUUAGUGAGACAUUUCGGUUGCUAGACUGUAGCAAUCUUUGAUCUGGUCUGUCUUGAUGGUAAACUGCUUCACUUGCAAGUAAGAUCUCCAUUUGUCAUUUGCUGCUGACCUUUACUUUUCUUUCUUUUCCCUUCUAUAGCUAAUUCUUUCCUUUCAUUUACUUUUCCUAUUGCAAUUUCCAAUUUGCAACAUUCCAAAUUUUCAAUUUAGAAUGUUAUAGAUAGGUAAUUCAUGCAUAUCAUAUUUUAUCGCAUUUCGUUUUGUGAUCCUCGAAAUUCUAAGCAACUCAAGGACCCACGGAGAGAGUUGGGGAUUUCACGUUCUUCAUAUUUGAAUUUUAUCAAAUAUUGAAACAAGGAUCACUUUGGUUUUAAUUAUUUUUCUCUCCGAAAAUAUUUUGUGUCAAAAUAUAUGAGAGGAGAUAAUAUGACUUCUCCAAAAUAAAUGAAAUAUUGGAGGAAAAAUAUUAAAAUCAAAUAAACAUUUUUCUGUGGAUUUUAAUUGCGAUUUUAUUUGAAUUACAAAAAUAUGCAUUUUUUCAAAUAUGCAUUUUAGGGCCAAGAAAAUGUUCACCUUGUUGUAAAUAUUUUAUUUAGACAGUGAAAAUUUGUUUUGGUAUUUUUAGACUUUUAUUUUAUUUUCUAGGAUUUUUCCGGCGAAAUCUGUUUAAAAAAAAGCCAGCGCCCGACUGGGCCGCAGGCCCAGCCAAGCCAGGCCGGCCCGCGCCGCGCCACUGCCUCUGCCGCCGUGCCCGAGUCCGGCUGGGACACGGGCAAGCCGCCGUCGCCGCUCGGGACUCCACCCGAGGCCGUGCCCCCUCCGCAAGCCACCUCCCUCCCGCCUUAAAAGCCGAGCCCGGGGCCCCCCUGGACCCCGAGUCGCUGCGCCGCCCGCCCCACCGCCUCGCCGCCGCUCCGCCACGCCGCUCGCCGCCGUUGCCGCUGCCGCGCCGCGCCCCGCCGCCGCGUAGCUGCCCCGUGCCUGCCUCGCCGCACCGCCAUUNNNNNNNNNNNNNNNNNNNNNNNNNNNNNNNNNNNNNNNNNNNNNNNNNNNNNNNNNNNNNNNNNNNNNNNNNNNNNNNNNNNNNNNNNNNNNNNNNNNNNNNNNNNNNNNNNNNNNNNNNNNNNNNNNNNNNNNNNNNNNNNNNNNNNNNNNNNNNNNNNNNNNNNNNNNNNNNNNNNNNNNNNNNNNNNNNNNNNNNNNNNNNNNNNNNNNNNNNNNNNNNNNNNNNNNNNNNNNNNNNNNNNNNNNNNNNNNNNNNNNNNNNNNNNNNNNNNNNNNNNNNNNNNNNNNNNNNNNNNNNNNNNNNNNNNNNNNNNNNNNNNNNNNNNNNNNNNNNNNNNNNNNNNNNNNNNNNNNNNNNNNNNNNNNNNNNNNNNNNNNNNNNNNNNNNNNNNNNNNNNNNNNNNNNNNNNNNAGCCGCAGACAGCGAACGUUCAUUUGUUAGUCUGUUCGUCAGUUUGUCUUUUUCCAGGGUUUUUCCGCGAUUAUUUCCGAUCGCGAUUUCUGCCCUAAUCUUCGAUCUAGUAACUUUUCGCUCGUUUAUCCAAAUCAGAUGAAACAAGCGCCUAGAUCUUCGUCCUGAAGUCCUCUUUCUGUUUAACCAACUUGAACAACAUUUUGGUACUGUAAAAUUUGACUUUAGUCCAGAUUAGUAACCGGAUCUUGUUUCUUUCGCAGUUUGAGUUUCGUUGCUCUGUUUGAUUUGAUUCUUUUUGCAAACCGGAGUUCUUCAGUUGAACUUUUUGGUUAGAUCUUCUUAUUUGAGUUUUACCUGUGCAUCUUGCUUGAUUGCUUAUGUACGCUAUUGUUUGUUUGUGAUAGAGUUCCCGGAGUGCGCAGCGUGCUACUAUAAGUCUCUAGGAUUUGCAGAUCGUCAGCAUGGCAACUAACACCCUUUAUUACCCAGUUUUUAUGCAUUAGUUACGACCCUCACACAUUGCAUGAGCAGGAUCUCUUAACAUGUGGGUUUGGGAAGUAGUUGAUGAGGUAGAACCUAUUGCCCUUUUAUUAUCAAACCCUUGGGAGUUACUUCUACGUUAUGCUUUUAUUGCCAUGCUAUGCUAGUAGACGUGGAUUGGGUGAGUGUAUCCAUGACAGAUGUGAGUUUGUUAAUUAAUGGUUCAACUUAAGGUGACAAUUUAAUACACAUCUGGGUGGAUUGCUUGUGGGCACCUGGAGAAUCCAGUGUUGUCCUAGGAUAAAUCCUUCGAGUACUGUGUGUGUCAGCAUUAUCGAUCCAGAGAUCACACUGAACAGAGAUACUUGACCGUCUGAGGUCGGGUCGCUACAAGAUGGUAUCAGAGGACACGCUGAAUGUAGGGCACGACCACUAAGAAAAGCCCUAGGUCACUCUUCUCUACUCAUUUCUGACUUCUCUGCAUUUUCUACUCUUUAGGAUGGCGGACUCAAGGAACAGGUUUGCACAACCGGAUGAAGACAACCCUUUGGACGACACUUGAAGGAAGUCACUAGGUACCUGAACAUCAGAAUACGAAGCUUCACCGGGACGUACACCGCCACUUUACCAGAAGAGGAGCGAUGGAUGAUUCGAGUUCAAGUUCCAGGAAGGACAUUCACUCCAGUUACGGAGCCCAUAGAAUUUUCCUUUGAUGCACCAACCUGGAGUCUAGGCAAGAGCAUGGCAGCCCACAUCGCCAUGGGACGCAUCGGCGAAGGCUACAGCAAGGAUCUCAAGGACACUAUCUACCAGAUAUGUGGGCGCCGAGAUGAGCAAUGGGAGAUAGUGAGCACCAGGAGGGAUAGGUCCAUUGCAGCUUUCAUCCAGGAGUUAAACCAGCACAUUCGACGCUAGGAGAACCAGAUGUGCGCAAGCAUGAAAGAUUUGAAGAAGGCGAUUACUAGGAUCACUGAGCUAGAAGAGGAACUCAAGUCUACACGGGAUGGAUAUUAGGAGGAAAUGACGAUACUCGUGGAGAAGAAUGACGACCUGACAAGGAAGCUAGGAGUUUUCAUGGGAGACCCCGUGCCAGGAGGAGAAGACGACGAACCCAAGGAAAUUCGUUCUGAAGACUACAUCAUCAUCGACGACACUGAUUCCGACCUUGAUGGUAGUGAUGAUGAUUAUGAAGACGAAGCUGGAGCGGAUAUCAUGGAGUCUUCCACCGAUCAAAAUUUCUAGAUGACCACCAUAUGAUUAGUAGUAUUUCCCCUGUAUAUAGUAGUAGUCUGAGCACUUUUGUAACGAUAGUUCUAGACCGUUUGUAUGCCCUUGCUUGAUUGAUUGAGUGAUAUGAUAUGAUUGUGUUUGCCUCAUGUGCAUAUGGGUAGUGCUUUCUCACUAGACCUCUUUCUAUUCUAAUCUCUUCCCUCUAAACCCAUCAGAUGCCUCCGAGACGUGACGCUGGAUUUGUCUUCCCACCGGAGAUCACCCAGUUUAUCCAACAGCAGAAUGCCUUGAUCCAGAUAUUAGUCCAGAACCAAGGCAACAACAACAACAACAACAACAACAACCCGGCGCCACCACCUCCAGUUGACAACUUAGCCCGUUUUCUGAGGUUGCAGCCGCCGGUGUUUUCCAGUAGCACCGAGCCAAUAGUUGCUGAUGACUGGCUACGCAUGAUUGGAAGGGAGUUGACCACCGCAGGUUGCACUGAUGCUGAGAAGGUGCGUUUUGCCGCACACCAAUUGGAUGGACCAGCAGCAUCAUGGUGGGAGAAUUACAUAACCACUUUCCCUAUAGCCAAUAUCACUUGGGAUCAGUUUCAGCAAGCAUUCCGCACAGCCCAUGUCUCAACUGGAGCUAUGAGCAUGAAGAAGCGCGAGUUUCGCAACUUGCGCCAGGGAAAUCGUACUGUGGCUCAGUACGUGGAUGAGUUUAGUAAGCUAUCUCAUUAUGCUCCCGAUGAUGUGGCCACAAAUGCCGUGAAGCAAAAGAGAAGUUUAUGGAAGGGCUGAAUGAUGAGAUGAGCAUGCAGUUGAUGGUGGUAACAUUUAACAACUACCAGGAGCUGGUAGUCAAGGCUCUUAAGAUUGAAGGGAAGCAACAACAGAUUGAGAGCCGCAAGAGGAAGUAUGGACAAGGAAGGUACAACUUAGGAGCUCAGUAGAAGCCUCGUUUAACCCCGAACUCGGGAGGAUUUACCCAUAACCAUGGAGGCCAUACCCACAAUGGAGGGAGUUCUCAUAACCACAAUGGCCCCAAGAAUGGGAAUGGGAAUGGAGCAAGCAGUAAUCAGAACCGCUCCACUCCAGUCACACCCGCCAAAAAGGACCUAAGUCACAUUACUUGUUUCAAGUGCGGGAAGACUAGACAUUGUGACACUGAGUGCCCUGAAGCAAAGAAUGGGGAUGGCAAUGGAAUCUCUGGGAAGAAGCCCAACCCUUUCAAUAGGGGACAAGUGACUCACAUGAACGUGGAGGAGGUUGAAGAGCAGCCGGGUGCAGUUAUCGGUAAGUUUUUGGUUAAGUCAUUUACUGCAAUUGUUCUUUUUGAUACUGGUGCAUCACAUUCAUACAUUUCAAGGGGAUUCGUGGAUAAGUAUAAGUUGCCCACCAAAGUACUUAGGACACCUAUGUUAGUAACCUCACCAGGAGCGGAGUAUAUGGCAAGUCAAGGAUGUUUUCAGAUGCCAUUGACCAUUGGAAGCCAUGUUUUUGUUGGGGAACGUAGCAGAAAUUCAAAAUUUUCUACGCAUCACCAAGAUCAAUCUAUGGAGUAAUCUAGCAACGAGGGGAAGGGGAGUGCAUCUACAUACCAUUGUAGAUCGCGAAGCGGAAGCGUUGCAAGAACGCGGAUGAAGGAGUCGUACUCGUAGUGAUUUAGAUCGCGGUUGAUUCCGAUCUAAGCACCGAAGAACGGUGCCUCCGCGUUCAACACACGUGCAGCCCGGUGACGUCUCCCACGCCUUGAUCCAGCAAGGAGAGAGGGAGAGGUUGGGGAAGACUCCGUCCAGCAGCAGCACAACGGCAUGGUGGUGACGGAGGAGCGUGGCAAUCCUGCAGGGCUUCGCCAAGCACCGCGGGAGAGGAGGAGGGAGAGGGGUAGGGCUGCGCCAAGAGAGAGGAAAUCUCAUGUCUUUGGCAGCCCCAAAACCCCCACUAUACAUAGGGGAGGGGGAGGGGCUGCGCCCCCAUCUAGGGUUCCCCCCCCAAGGGGUGCGGCCAGCCCUAGAUGGGAGUUGGGGGGCGGCCAAAAGGGGGAGAGAGGGGGGCGCCCCACUAGAUGGGCCUUAGGCCCAUCUUAGCCUAGGGUUUCCCCCUUCCCCCCCUUCCUGCGCCCUGGGCCCCUUGUGGGAGGCGCACCAGCCCACCUAGGGGCUGGUCCCUUCCCACACUUGGCCCACGCAGCCCUCUGGGGCCGGUGGCCCCACCUGGCGGACCCCCGGGACCCUCCCGGUGGUCCCGGUACGUUACCGAUAGCACCCGAAACUUUUCCGGUGACCAAAACAGGACUUCCCAUAUAUAAAUCUUUACCUCCGGACCAUUUCGGAACUCCUCGUGACGUCCGGGAUCUCAUCCGGGACUCCGAACAACAUUCAGUAACCACGUAUAUCUAUUCCCUAUAACCCUAGCGUCAUCGAACCUUAAGUGUGUAGACCCUACGGGUUCGGGAACCAUGCAGACAUGACCGAGACGUUCUCCGGUCAAUAACCAACAGCGGGAUCUGGAUACCCAUGUUGGCUCCCACAUGUUCCACGAUGAUCUCAUCGGAUGAACCACGAUGUCGGGGAUUCAACCAAUCCCGUAUACAAUUCCCUUUGUCAAUCGGUAUGUUACUUGCCCGAGAUUCGAUCGUCGGUAUCCCGAUACCUUGUUCAAUCUCGUUACCGGCAAGUCUCUUUACUCGUUCCGUAACACAUCAUCCCGUGAUCAACUCCUUGUUCACAUUGUGCACAUUAUGAUGAUGUCCUACCGAGUGGGCCCAGAGAUACCUCUCCGUUUACACGGAGUGACAAAUCCCAGUCUCGAUUCGUGCCAACCCAACAGACACUUUCGGAGAUACCUGUAGUGCACCUUUAUAGCCACCCAGUUACGUUGUGACGUUUGGUACACCCAAAGCAUUCCUACGGUAUCCGGGAGUUGCACAAUCUCAUGGUCUAAGGAAAUGAUACUUGACAUUAGAAAAUCUCUUAGCAAACGAACUACACGAUCUUGUGCUAGGCAUAGGAUUGGGUCUUGUCCAUCACAUCAUUCUCCUAAUGAUGUGAUCCCAUUAUCAACGACAUCCAAUGUCCAUGGUCAGGAAACCGUAACCAUCUAUUGAUCAACGAGCUAGUCAACUAGAGGCUUACUAGGGACAUGGUGUUGUCUAUGUAUCCACACAUGUAUCUGAGUUUCCUAUCAAUACAAUUUUAGCAUGGAUAAUAAACGAUUAUCAUGAACAAGGAAACAUAAUAAUAACCAAUUUAUUAUUGCCUCUAGGGCAUAUUUCCAACAGUUUUCCCCUCAGACUUAAUAAUUUUGGAGUCACAAGGAUUGGAUGUGAUACUAGGCAUGGAUUGGCUAUCGAUGUAUGGAGGAAACAUCGAUUGCGCCAGUAAGUCGAUUUUACUCACCACCCCGGAGGGGAAAAGGAUCAAGUAUGUAUCUAGGCAUGCGCCUAGGAGGACUCAAGUAAAUUCUCUCUCAGGAGUUGUUCAGGAGGAAGUGCCGGUAAUAAAGGAUUACCCAGAUGUAUUUCCAGAGGAGUUACCAGGCAUGCCACCAGAUCGAGAUAUUGAGUUUUUGAUAGAGCUGUUGCCAGGCACCGGACCAAUAUCGAAGAGACCAUACCGGAUGCCCGCGAAUGAUCUUCUAGAAGAGAUCGAGAAGCAGAAAAAGGAGUUAUUGGAGAAAGGUUACAUUCGACAAAGUUCAUCACCAUGGGGAGCCCCAGUGCUCUUGGUGGAGAAGAAGGAUGGAUCUUUGAGAAUGGUUGUUGAUUAUCGUUCGUUGAAUGAAGUGACGAUCAAGAACAAGUACCCGCUGCCGAUGAUCAAUGAUUUGUUUGAUCAGUUGCAAGGAGCUAAAGUGUUUUCGAAGAUCGAUUUGCGAUCAGGAUAUCACUAGUUGAAGAUCCGAGAAAAGGAUAUACCUAAAACAGCUUUCACCACGAGGUACGGGUUAUACGAGUAUACAGUUAUGUCAUUUGGAUUUACUAACGUGCCUGCCUAUUUCAUGAGUAUGAUGAACAAAGUGUUCAUGGAGUUCUUGGAUAAGUUUGUCGUGGUGUUCAUUGAUGAUAUCUUGGUAUACUCGAAGAAUGCAGAAGAAUGAUACGUCUCCAAUGUAUCUACUUUUCCUAACACUUUUGCCCUUGUUUUGGACUCUAACUUGCAUGAUUUGAAUGAAACUAAUCCUGACUGACGUUGUUUUCAGCAGAAUUGCCAUGAUGUUAUCUUUGUGCACAAACAAAAGUUCUUGGAAUGACCUGAAAAUCCACGGAGAUUAUUUUUGGAAAAUAAGAAAAAUACUGGCGAAAGAAUCAAGGCCAGGGGGCCCACACCCUGUCCACGAGGGUGGGGGGCGCGCCCCCUGUCUCAUGGGCCCCCUGGAGCUCCACCGACCUCAACUCCAACUCUAUAUAUUCCGUUUCAUGGAGAAAAAAAUCGGAGAGAAAGUUUCAUCGCGUUUUACGAUACGGAGCCGCCGUCAAGCCCUAAUCUCUCUCAGGAGGUCUGAUCUGGAGUCCGUUCGGGGCUCCGGAGAGGGGGAUUCGUCGCCAUCGUCAUCAUCAACCGUCCUCCAUCACCAAUUUCAUGAUGCUCACCGCCGUGCGUGAGUAAUUCCAUCGUAGGCUUGCUGGACGGUGAUGGGUUGGAUGAGAUUUAUCAUGUAAUCGAGUUAAUUUUGUUAGCGUUUGAUCCCUAGUAUCCACUAUGUUCUGAGAUUGAUGUUGCUAUGACUUUGCUAUGCUUAAUGCUUGUCACUAGGGCCCGAGUGCCAUGAUUUCAGAUCUGAACCUAUUAUGUUUUCAUGAAUAUAUGUGAGUUCUUGAUCCUAUCUUGCAAGUCUAUAGUCACCUAUUAUGUGUUAUGAUCCGACAACCCCGAAGUGACAAUAAUCGGGAUACUUCUCGGUGAUGACCGUAGUUUGAGGAGUUAAUGUAUUCACUAAGUGCUAAUGCUUUGUUCCGGUUCUCUAUUAAAAGGAGGCCUUAAUAUCCCUUAGUUUCCAUUAGGACCCCGCUGCCACAGGAGGGUAGGACAAAAUAUGUCAUGCAAGUUCUUUUCCAUAAGCAUGUAUGACUAUAUUCAGAAUACAUGCCUACAUUACAUUGAUGAACUGGAGCUAGUUCUGUGUCACACUAGGUUAUAACUAUUGCAUGAGGAAUCGCAUCCGACAUAAUUAUCCAUCACUGAUCCAAUGCCUAUGAUCUUUUCACAUAUUGUGCUUUGCUUAUUUAAUUUUCCGUUGCUACUAUUACAAUCACUACAAAACCCCAAAAUAUUACUUUUGCUAUUGUUAUCAUUACUAUCAUAUUACUUUGCUACUAAAUACUUUGCUGCAAAUACUAAGUUGUCCAGGUGUGGUUGAAUUGACAACUCAACUGCUAAUACUUGAGAAUAUUCUUUAGCUCCCCUUGUGUCGAAUCAAUAAAUUUGGGUUGAAUACUCUACCCUCGAAAGCUGUUGCGAUCCCCUACACUUGUGGGUUAUCAAGACUAAUUUCUGGCGCCGUUGCCGGGGAGCAUAGCUCUAUUCUUUGAGUCACUUGGGAUUUAUAUCUGGUGGUCACUAUGAAGAACUUGAAAGAUGACAAAUCUAAAAUUUAUCCCUCAACUACAAGGGGAGGUAAGGAACUGCCAUCUAGCUCUGCACUAGAUUCUCCUUCUGUUUUGAGUAAACUUACGACACCUAAACCUGCUUCUGCUAUUAAUUCUGAUAUGUCGCAUGUUAUUGAUGAUGCCACUUCUGCUAUGCAUGAUACUUGUGAUGAAACUACUUCUUUGCUUGAUACUACUGUGCCACUUGGUGAAUUUCUUGAUGAACAACUUGCUACGGCUAGAGAGAAUGAAAUUAUUGAAAAUGAAAUUAUUGAAAAUGAAAUUAUUGAAGAUAGUGAUGAUGAAGGUUCUCCCCCUAAGUAUGAAUUGCCUGUUGUUCCUGCGGGUUAUGUUAUGGAUGAAGAAACUGCUGGAGAUCUUCUUGCUUGCAAUGAUAGAUAUGAUCUUAAGAAGUUAUUAGCUAAACUUAAACAGAAAACUCUGAAUGCUAGAAUGAAACAUGACCCUCCUUUUGCCACUUCACCUAUCUUUGUUACCGAUAAGGAUUAUGAAUUCGCUGUUGAUCCUGAGAUAAUUACUUUGGUUGAAUCUGAUCCUUUCUAUGGCUAUGAGUCUGAAACUGUUGUGGCACAUCUUACUAAAUUGAAUGAUAUAGCCACCCUGUUUACUAAUGAUGAGAAAUCUCGCUACUAUUAUAUCCUUAAGAUACUCCCAUUCUCAUUAAAGGGUGAUGCUAAAACUUGGUUUAAUUCUCUUGAUCUUGGUUGUGCGCGUAGUCCCCAGGAUAUGAUUUAUUACUUCUCUGCUAAAUAUUUCCCUGCUCAUAAGAAACAAGCUACCUUGCGGGAAAUAUAUAAUUUUGUGCAAAUUGAAGAAGAGAGUCUCCCACAAGCUUGGGGGAGGCUUCUCCGAUUACUUAAUGCUUUGCCUGAGCACCCUCUCAAGAAAAAUGAAAUACUUGAUAUCUUUUAUAAUGGACUAACCGAUGCUUCCAAGGACCACUUGGAUAGUUGUGCUGGUUGUGUUUUCAGGGAAAGAACAGUCGACCAAGCUGAAGUGCUAUUGAAUAAUAUGUUGACUAAUGAAAAUAAUUGGACUCUUCCUGAGCCAAUUCCUGAACCAGUUGAGCCAAUUCCUGAACCAGUUGAGCCAACUCCUGAGCCUAUUCCUAAACCUACUCCAAAGAAGAGAGGUGUUCUAUUUCUCAAUCCUAAGGAUAUGCAGGCGGCAAAGAAAUCUAUGAAAGAAAAAGGUAUUAAAGCUGAAGAUGUUAAGAAUUUACCUCCUAUUGAAGAAAUACAUGGUCUUAAUAUACCGCUUGUUGAAGAAACACAUUGUCUUGAUAACCCGACAUAGGUAGUAAAGGUAAAUUCUCUCUAUAGAUAUGAUAAAGUUGAAAUCCCGUCUAUUAAAUUUCCUAGCCAAUGUUUGGAUGAAUUUGAUUACUUUAUGGCUAGGCAAGAAAGUUUUAAUGCUUAUGUUGGUAGAGAAUUAAAGAGUAAUGCUUACAUGAUUGGACACUUGAGUGAUUAUAUGCUAGAGUUAAAGGUGAACUUAAACUCAUUAGCAAACAUGCCUCUAUUGUUAACACUCAAGCAGAACAAGUACUUAAAGCUCAAAAUUAUUUGCUUAAUGAAUUAAAUAAUAAACAUGAUUUAGCUGUUAGAGUGGCUACUAGAACUGGUAAAAUGACUCAGGAACCUUUGUAUCCUGAAGGCCACCCUAAGAGAAUUGAGCAAGAUUCUCAGAGAAAUAAUGUAGAUGCACCUAGUCCUUCUAAAAAGAAGAAAAAGAAAAAAUGAUAGGACUUUGCAUGCUUCUAGUAAACCUAUUGUACACACCUGAGAAUCCAAAUGAUAUUUCUAUUUCUGAUGCUGAAACACAAUCAGGUGAUGAACAUGAACCUAGUGAUAAUGUUAAUGAUAAUGAUCAUGUUGAUGCUCAACCUAGCAAUAAUGAUGAUGUAGAGAUUGAACCUGCUGUUGAUCUUGAUAACCCACAAUCAAAGAAUCAACGUUAUGAUAAGAGAGAUUUUGUUGCUAGGAAACAUGGUAAAGAAAGGGAACCAUGGGUUCAGAAACCCAUGCCCUUUCCUCCUAAACCAUCCAAGAAAAAGGAUGAUGAGGAUUUUGAGCGUUUUGCUGAAAUGAUUAGACCUAUCUUCUGACGUAUGCGCUUAACUGAUAUGCUUAAAGUAAAUCCUUAUGCCAAAUAUGUGAAGGAUAUCAUUACAAAUAAAAGAAAGAUACCGGAAGCAGAAAUUUCCACCAUGCUUGCUAAUUACACUUUUAAAGGUGGAAUACCAAAGAAACUAGGAGAUCCAGGAGUACCAACUAUAGCAUGCUCCAUUAAAAGAAACUAUGUUAAAACUGCUUUAUGUGAUCUUGGAGCCGGUGUUAGUGUUAUGCCUCUCUCUUUAUAUCGUAGACUUGAAUUGAAUAAGUUGACACCUACUGAAAUAUCUUUGCAAAUGGCUGAUAAAUCAACUGCUAUACCUGUCGGGAUUUGUGAGGAUGUGCCUGUUGUGGUUGCAAAUGUCACUAUCUUAAUGGACUUUGUUAUUCUUGAUAUUCCCGAGGACGAUAGUAUGUAGAUUAUCCUUGGUAGACCAUUUUUGAAUACUGCAGGGGCUGUUAUUGAUUGCAACAAAGGCAAUGUCACUUUUCAUGUUCAUGGUAAUGAGCAUACGGUACACUUUCCGAGGAAACAAUCUCAAGUUCAUAGCAUCAAUUCUAUUGGAAAAAUUCCAACUAUUACUAUUGGAGGUUUUGAAUUUCCUCUUCCUAGUGUCAAGAAGAAAUAUGAUAUUCUUAUUAUUGAGGAUGUUCAUAUCCCCGUUGAGGUAACUUAGUGUUAUUCAAAAUUUCUCCGGUUCCAUGUUAUUCGAAAUGAGUUUGUUAACAAGACUUGAUCAACCUUGUUAGUGGAUUCCUUUUGAUGAUCAUGAGAUGGAUGACAUUAGAAGGCACAACCUUCUGUGCCCUCUUUUUUUACCUUCUGUUAUUUAGAAUAAAUUAAGCAAAAAUAGUAUUAUCUGUUUGUUUUCUUAAUUAUCCAUACAAUAAAAAAUACCCCGAAAAUAAAAGUUCUCCAAAUGCCCUGCCAAUUUAUUAUGAUUUUUUCUGGAAUAUUUGAGAAUAUCUGGCACUGAGAACACAACAGGGGGAGCUGGCCCCUAGCCACGAGGGUCCAGGGCGCGCCCACCCUUACAGGGCGCGCCCCCUGCCUCGUGGGCUCACGGUGGCCCCCCUCCACUUAUUCCUGCACCCACACACUCCAUCUUCCUCCCAAAAAAAUCACCAUCCAGCUCAAGCACGAGUUCUAGCUCAUUUUGCUACGAUUUUCGAUCUCCUUGCUCAAAGCCCCAUUCACAAAACUACUUUGGGAGAUUGUUCCUUGGUAUGUGACUCCUCCAAUGGUCCAAUUAGUUUUUGUUCUAGUGCUUUAUUCAUUGCAAAAUUUUGCUGCAUAGGCGACCCUGUUCUUGAGCUUGCAUGUCAAAUUUAUGAGGUCGCAAGUAAUUGUAAUGCAUGAUAUAGGCUCUAGGCACUUGUAGGAGUAGUUGCUAUCAAUCUUGUUUAGUUUGGUUCACUUUUAUUUUGAAGUUACUAAAAAUUUCAGAAAUUUUCAGAAAAAUAUGAAGAGGUUGUUCUCGAGGGGCUCUUCUAGCCAAGGCUCUAAGGAUAAAAAAGUUAAGGAGAAAGAAAAAGCCAAGUAUAAUCUUCCUCGCGUAGCGGAAUAAGGCCGUGUGAGUGGCCUUGUGAUAAUUUCUUGAGAGCAGCCGGGAUUUAUGAAGACUUCUAUUCUUUGGCUGAAAAUGCGGGCCUCACCGACUUCCUCCACGAACGGAUAGAACAGUAUCUCUUACUUACGAAUACUUUCGUGCAAAACUUUUUCUAUCAUCCUAAGAAUUCACCUCCUUCAGUAUCUUUUCACUUAUAUGAUGAGGCUAAGGAAAUGUCAUUACGUAAUUUUUGCGCGGUUUGUAGAAUAACCUUUGAGGGCAGCUUAGAUGAACCACAUCGUAGAGAUGUGGAAGGUUUUAGUGAUACUAUUACUAUAGGGGAAUCGAGGAAGGGUUCCGAUGCGAGAAUCACUAGCAUACAUUUGUUGGAAAUAUGCCCUAGAGGCCAUAAUAAAAUGGUUAUUAUUAUAUUUCCUUGUUCAUGAUAAUUGUCUAUUAUUCAUGCUAUAAUUGUAUUAACCAGAAACCGUAAUACAUGUGUGAAUACAUAGACCACAACAUGUCCCUAGUAAGCCUCUAGUUGACUAGCUCGUUGAUCAAUAGAUGAUCGUGGUUUCCUGACCAUGGACAUUGGAUGUCGUUGAUAACGGGAUCACAUUACUGGGAGAAUCAUGUGAUGGACAAGACCCAAUCCUAAGCAUAUCACAAGAUCAUGUAGUUCGUUUGCUAGAGCUUUUCUAAUGUCAAGUAUCAUUUCCUUAGACCAUGAGAUUGUGCAACUCCCGGAUACCGUAGGAGUGAUUUGGGUGUAUCAAACGUCACAACGUAACUGGGUGGCUAUAAAGGUGCACUACAGGUAUCUCCGAAAGUGUCUGUUGGGUUGGCACGAAUCGAGACUGGGAUUUGUCAAUCCGUGUGAUGGAGAGGUAUCUCUGGGCCCACUCAGUAAUGCAUCAUCAUAAUGAGCUCAGUGUGACUAAUGAGUUAGCCAUGGGAUCAUGCGUUACGGAACGAGUAAAGAGACUUGCCGGUAACGAGAUUGAACAAGGUAUGGGGAUACCGACGAUCGAAUCUCGGGCAAGUAACAUACCGAUGGACAAAGGGAAUUGAAUACGGGAUUGAUUGAAUCCCCGACAUCGUGGUUCAUCCGAUGAGAUCAUCGUGGAACAUGUGGGAGCCAACAUGGGUAUCCAGAUCCCGCUGUUGGUUAUUGGCCGGAGAACGUCUCGGUCAUGUCUGCAUGGUUCCCGAACCCGUAGGGUCUACACACUUAAGGUUCGGUGACGCUAGAGUUGUUAUGGGAAAUAGUAUGUGGUUACCGAAGGUUAUUCGGAGUCCCGGAUGAGAUCCCGGACAUGACGAGGAACUCCAGAAUGAUCCGGAGGUGAAGAUCGAUAUAUUGGACGAAGGGUAUUGGAGUCCGGAAUUGUUCCGGGGGUACCGGGUGACGACCAGCGUGUCCGAAAGGGGUUUCAGAGGCCUCGACAAGCGUUGGGGGGCCUUAUGGGCCAAGGGGAGGGGGCACAUCAGCCCACUAAGGGGCUGUGCGCCCCUCCCACCCCAUCUCACGUAACGUGGAGAGGUGGGGGCGCCUCCCCUAGGGCAGCCACCCCUCCCGGCUUGGGGGGCAAGUUUCCUAGGGGUGGGGGCGCCCAAACCCAUCUAGGGUUUCCCCUGUGGCCCCCGCCCCUCCCCUAGGGAAACCCUAGGGUGCCUCCUCCUCCCCCCUUCCCCCUAUAUAUAGUGAGGAAGAGAGAGGGCAGCCGCACCCCUUCCCCAGGCGCAGCCGCUCCCUCCUCCAACACCUCCUCCUCCGUAGUGCUUGGCGAAGCCCUGCCGGAGAACCGCAAGCUCCACCCCCACGCUGUCGUGCUGCCGGAGCUUUCCCUCAACUUCUCCUCUCCCCUUGCUGGAUCAAGAAGGAGGAGACAUCCCCGGGCUGUACGUGUGUUGAACGCGGAGGCGCCGUCCGUUUGGCGCUAGAUCGGAUCUUCCGCGAUUUGAAUCGCCGCGAGUACGACUCCAUCAACCGCAUUCUUGUAACGCUUCCGCUUAGCGAUCUUCAAGGGUAUGAAGAUCCACUCCCUCCCUCUUGUUGCUAGCAUCUCCUAGAUUGAUCUUGGUGACACGUAGGAAAUUUUUGAAUUAUUACUACGUUCCCCUACAGUGGCAUCAUGAGCUAGGUCUAUGCGUAGAUUCUAUGCACGAGUAGAACACAAAGUAGUUCUGGGCGAUGAUUUGUUCAAUUUGCUUACCGUUACUAGUCUUAUCUUGAUUCGGCGGCAUUGUGGGAUGAAGCGGCCCGGACCGACCUUACACGUACUCUUACGUGAGACAGGUUCCACCGACUGACAUGCACUUGAUGCAUAAGGUGGCUAGCGGGUGUCUGUCUCUCCCUCUUUAGUCGGAUCAGAUUCGAUGAAAAGGGUCCUUAUGAAGGGUAAAUAGCAAUUGGCAUAUCACCGUUGUGGAUUUUGCGUAGGUAAGAAACGUUCUUGCUAGAAACCCAUAGCAGCCACGUAAAACAUGCAACAACAAUUAGAGGACGUCUAACUUGUUUUUGCAGGGUAUGCUAUGUGAUGUGAUAUGUCCAAAAGGAUGUGAUGAAUGAUAUAUGUGAUGUAUGAGAUGGAUCAUGUUCUUGUAAUAGGAAUCACGACUUGCAUGUCGAUGAGUAUGACAACCGGCAGGAGCCAUAGGAGUUGUCUUAAUUUAUUGUAUGACCUGCGUGUCAAUGAAAACGCCAUGUAAUUACUUUACUUUAUUGCUAACCGUUAGCCAUAGUAGUAGAAGUAAUAGUUGGCGAGACAACUUCAUGAAGACACAAUGAUGGAGAUCAUGAUGAUGGAGAUCAUGGUGUCAUGCCGGUGACGAAGGUGAUCAUGCUGCGCCUCGAAGAUGGAGAUCAAAAGGCGCAAGAUGAUAUUGGCCAUAUCAUGUCACUUUAUGAUUUGCAUGUGAUGUCUGUCAUGUUUACAUCUUAUUUGCUUAGAACGACGGUAGCAUAAAUAAGAUGAUCCCUCUCUAAAAUUUCAAGAAUGUGUUCCCCUAACUGUGCACCAUUGCGAAGGUUCGUUGUUUCGAAGCACCACGUGAUGAUCGGGUGUGAUAGAUUCUAACGUUCGCAUACAACGGGUGUAAGCUAGAUUUACACAUGCGAAACACUUAGGUUGACUUGACGAGCCUAGCAUGUACAGACAUGGCCUCGGAACACAAGAGACCGAAAGGUCGAACAUGAGUCGUAUAGUAGAUGCGAUCAACAUGGAGAUGUUCACCGUUGAUGACUAGUCCGUCUCACGUGAUGAUCGGACACGGCCUAGUCGAUUCGGAUCAUGUAUCACUUAGAUGACUAGAGGGAUAUCUAUCUGAGUGGGAGUUCAUUAAAUAAUUUGAUUAGAUGAACUUAAUUAUCAUGAACAUAGUAUAAAUUGUCUUUGCAAAUAUGUUGUAGAUUAAUAGCUCACGCUUUAGCUCCCUGUUUUAAUACAUUCCUAGAGAAAGACUAAAUUGAAAGAUAUUGUAAGCAAUUGUGCGGACUAGGGCCGUAGUCCAAGGAUUGUCCUCACUGCUACACAGAAGGCUUUUGUCCUUGAUGCACUGCUCGGUGUGCCAACCCCUCUGGCGUCGUCUGUGGAUGUUGUGAACAUCUGGCAGACACGUUCUGAUGACUACUUGAUAGUUUAGUGCACCAUGCUUUACGGCUUAGAGUCGGGGCUCCAAAAGCGUUUUGAACGCCAUGGAACAUAUGAGAUGUUCCAAGAGCUGAAAUUGGUAUUUCAGGCUCAUGCCCGUGUUGAGAGGUUUGAGACCUUUGACAAGAUCUUUGCCUACAAGAUGGAGGAGAAUAGCUCAGCCAGUGAGCAUGUGCUCAUAAUGUCUGGGUACUUCAAUCGCUUGAAUCAAGUGGGAGUUAAUCUUCCAGAUAAGAGAAGUGAUUGACGGAGUUCUCCAGUCACUAUCACCAAGCUAAAUAGAGCUUCAUGAUGAACUAUAACAUGCAAGGGAAGUUUAUCCCGAAGCUGUUUGUCGUGCUUAAGGCCGUAAAGGUAGAAGUCAAGAAGGAGCAUCAAGUGUUGAUGGUUAACAAGACCACUAGUUUCAAAGAAGGGGCAAGAAGGGAAACUUCAUGAAUGGCAAGCCAGUUACCGCUCUAGUGAAGAAACCCAAGAACCCAAACCCGAGACGAAGUGCUUCUAUUAGGGGAACGGUCACUGGUAGCGGAACUGCCUCAAAUACUUGGUAGAUAAGAAGGCUGGCAACUCAACAAAAGUAUAUUUGAUAUAUGUGUUAUUGAUGUGUACCUUACUAGUACUCCUAGUAGCACAUGUGUAUUAGAUACCGGUUCAGUUGCUAAUAUUGGUAACUUGAAACAGAAGUUACGGAUUAAACAGAGACUAGCUAAGGGCGAGGUGACGAUGUGUGUUGGAAGUGUUUCCAAGGUUGAUGUGAUCACCAUCGCACGCUCCCUCUACCUUCGGGAUUAGUGUUGAACCUAGAUAAAUGUUUUUUGCAUUCAUGUCUGCGUUGAGCAUGAACAUGAUUAGAUCAUGUUUAUUGCAAUAUGGUUAUUCAUUUAAGUCAAAGAAUAAUGGUUAUUCUGUUUACAUGAAUAAUACCUCCUAUGGUCAUGCACCCAAUGUGAAUGGUUUAUUGAAUCUCGGUCGUAGUGAUACACAUGUUCAUAACAUUGAUGCCAAAAGAUGUAGAGUUGAUAAUGAUAGUACCACUUUCUUGUGGCACUGCCGCUUAGGUCAUAUUGGUGUAAAGCGCAUGGAGAACCUCCAUGCCGAUGGACUUUUGAAGUCACUUGAUUUUGAAUGACUUGACACAUGCGAACCGUGCCUAGUUGGCAAGAUGACUAAAACCCCAUUCUUUGUAACAAUGGAACGGGCAAGUGACUUGUUAGAAAUCAUACAUGCUGAUGUGUGCGGUCCAAUGAGUGUUGACGCACGCAGUGGAUAUCGUUAUUUUCUCACCUUCACCGAUGAAUUGAGUAGAUAUGGGUAUAUUUACUUAAUAAAGCAUAAGUCUGAAACGUUUGAAAAGUUCAAGCAAUUUCAGAGUGAAGUUGAGAAUCAUCAUAACAAGAAGAUCAAGUUCCUACGAUUUGAUCAAGGGAAAAGUAUCUGAGUUAUGAGUUUGGCAAUCAGUAAAGACAAGGUGGAAUCGUUCCACAGUUGAUGCCACCUGGAACACCAUAGUGUAAUGGUGUGUCUGAACGUCGUAAUCACACCCUAUUGCAUAUGGUGCGAUCUAUGAUGUCUCUUACCAAUCUACCGCUAUCAUUUUGGGGUUAUGCAUUAGAGACAAUUACAUUCACUUUAAAUAGGGCACCAUCUAAGUCCGUGGAGACGACACCGUAUGAACUAUGGCUUGGCAAGAAACCUAAGUUGUUGUUUCUUAAGGUUUGGGACUACGAUGCUUAUGUCGAUAGGCUUCAACCAAAAAAGCUCGAACCCUAAGCGGAAAAUUGUGUCUUCAUAGAAUACCCAAACAAGACGAUUGGGUAUACCUUCUAUCUCAGAUCUAAGGGCAAAGUGUUUGUCGCUAGGAACAGGUCCUUUCUCGAGAAAGAGUUUCUAUCAAAGGAAUUGAGUGGGAGGAAGAUAGAACUUGAUGAGGUUGUUGAACCUUUACUUCAACCAGAGAGUAGCGCAACACAGAAAAAUGUUUCUGUGGCACCUACCUUAGUUGAAGAGAAAGCUAAUGAUGAUGAUCAUGGAGCUUCAGAUCAAGUUACUAUCGAACCUCAUAGGUCGACAAGGGUAUGUACAACUUAUGAGUGGUAACCCUGUCUUAAAGGUCAUGUUGUUGGACAACGCUGAACCUAUGAGCUAUGGAGAAGCGAUGGUGGGCCCGGAUUCCAACAAAUGGCUGGAAGCCAUGAAAUCCGAGAUAGGAUCCAUGUAUGAGAACAAAGUAUGGACUUUGGUGGACUUGCCCGAUGAUCGGCAAGCCAUUGAGAAUAAAUGGAUCUUUAAGAAGAAGACAGAUGCUGAUGGUAAUGACACCAUUUAUGAAGCUCGACUUGUCUCAAAGAAGUUUCCGACAAGUUCAAGGAGUUGACUAUGAUGAGACUUUCUCAAUCAUAGCGAUGCUAAAGUCUGUUAGAAUUAUGUUAGCAGUUGCUGCAUUUUCAUUUACGAAAUCUGGCAGAUGGAUUUCAAAACAAAGUUUCCUUGACGGUUUCCAUGAGGAAAGGCUGUAUGUGAUAAAACCAUAAAGUUUUGUCGAUCCUAAGGAUGCUAAAAGGUAUGCAAACUCCAGCGGUCCUUCUAUGGACUGGAGCAAGCAUCUCGGAGUUGGAACAUACGCUUUGAUGACGUGAUCAAAGCAUUUGGGUUUAUACAAAGUUUGCAAGAAACUUGUAUUUGCAAGAAAGUGAGUGGGAGCACUACAACAUUUUGAUAAAUAUAUGUGGAUGACAUAUUGUUGAUCAGAAAUGAUGUAGAAUUUCUGGAAAGCAUAAAGGGUUUUUUGAAUGGAGUUCUUCAAAGGAAGACCUGUGUAAAACUGCUUACAUGUUGGGUAUCAAGAUCUAUAGAGAUAGAUCAAGACGCCUGAUAAGACUUUCACAGAGCACAUACCUUGACAUGAUCUUGAAGGAUUUUAAGAUGGAUCAGUCAAAUAAGGAGUUCUUGCCUGAGUUGUAAGGUGUGAAGUUAAGACUUGAAGCUCGACCACGGCAGAAGAAAGAGAAAGGACGAAAGUCGUCCCCUAUGCCUUAGCCAUAGGCUCUAUACGAUAUCCCAUGCUGUGUACCGCGAUGUGCCUUCCCACGUGUCUGGCAAGGGGUAUAAGAAUGAUCCAGGAGUGGAUCAUUGGACAACGGUCAAAAUUGUCCUUAGGAAUAAGGAAAUGUUUCUCGAUUAUGGAGGUGAUGAAGAGUUCGGCGUAAAGGGUUACAUUGAUGCAAGCUUUAACACCUAUCCGGAUGACUCUGAGUAGCAAACCGGAUACGUAUAGUGGAGCAACCAUUUGGGAUAUCUCCAAGUGGAGCAUAGUAGCAACAUCUACAAUAUGAAAUAGAGAUUUGUGAAGAACACACAGAUCUGAAUGUUGCAGACCCGUUGACUAAAACCUCUCUCGUAAGCAUAACAUGAUCAAACCCUAGAACUCAUUGAGUGUUAAUCACAUGGUGAUGUGAACUAGAUUAUUGACUCUAGUAAACUCCUGGGUGUUAAUCACAUGGCGAUGUGAACUAGAUUAUUGACUCUAGUAAACUCUUUGGGUGUUAGUCACAUGGCAAUGUGAACUAUGAGUGUUAAUCACAUGACGAUGUGAACUAGAUUAUUGACUCUAGUGCAAGUGGGAGACUGUUGGAAAUAUGCCCUAGAGGCAAUAAUAAAAUGGUUAUUAUUAUAUUUCUUUGUUCAUGAUAAUUGUCUAUUAUUCAUGCUAUAAUUGUAUUAACCAGAAACCGUAAUACAUGUGUGAAUACAAAGACCACAACAUGUCCCUAGUAAGCCUCUAGUUGACUAGCUCGUUGAUCAAUAUAUGGUUGUGGUUUCCUGACCAUGGACAUUGGAUGUCGUUGAUAACGGGAUCACAUCAUUGGGAGAAUGAUGUGAUGGACAAGACCCAAUCCUAAGCAUAGCACAAGAUCGUGUAGUUCGUUUGCUAGAGCUUUUCUAAUGUCAAGUAUCAUUUCCUUAGACCAUGAGAUUGUGCAACUCCCGGAUACCGUAGGAGUGCUUUGGGUGUAUCAAUCGUCACAACGUAACUGGGUGGCUAUAAAGCUGCACUACAGGUAUCUCUGAAAGUGUCUGUUGGGUUGGCACGAAUCAAGACUGGGAUUUGUCAAUCCGUGUGCCGGAGAGGUAUCUCUGGGCCCACUCGGUAAUGCAUCAUCAUAAUGAGCUCAGUGUGACUAAUGAGUUAGCCAAGGGAUCAUGCGUUACGGAACGAGUAAAGAGACUUGCCGGUAACGAGAUUGAACAAGGUAUGGGGAUACCGACGAUCAAAUCUCGGGCAAGUAACAUACCGAUGGACAAAUGGAAUUGAAUACGAGAUUGAUUGAAUCCCCGACAUCGUGGUUCAUCCGAUGAGAUCAUCGUGGAACAUGUGGGAGCCAACAUGGGUAUCCAUGUCCCGCUGUUGGUUAUUGGCCGGAGAACGUCUCGGUCAUGUCUGCAUGGUUCCCGAACCCGUAGGGUCUACACACUUAAGGUUCGGUGACGCUAGAGUUGUUAUGGGAAAUAGUAUGUGGUUACCGAAGGUUGUUCGGAGUCCCGGAUGAGAUCCCGGACAUGACGAGGAACUCCGAAAUGGUCCGAAGGUGAAGAUCGAUAUAUUGGACGAAGGGUAUUGGAGUCCGGAAUUGUUCCGGGGGUACCGGGUGACGACCAGCGUGUCCGAAAGGGGUUUCGGAGGCCCCGACAAGCGUUGGGGGGCCUUAUGGGCCAAGGGGAGGGGGCACAUCAGCCCACUAAGGGGCUGUGCGCCCCUCCCACCCCAUCUCACGUAACGUGGAGAGGUGGGGGCGCCUCCCCUAGGGCAGCCACCCCUCCCGGCUUGGGGGGAAAGUUUCCUAGGGGUGGGGGCGCCCAAACCCAUCUAGGGUUUCCCCUGUGGCCGCCACCCCUCCCCUAGGGAAACCCUAGGGCGCCUCCUCCUCCCCCUUCCCCCUAUAUAUAGUGAGGGAGAGAGAGGGCAGCUGCACCCCUUCCCCAGGCGCAGCCGCUCCCUCCUCCAACACCUCCUCCUCCUCCGUAGUGCUUGGCGAAGCCCUGCCGGAGAACCGCAAGCUCCACCCCCACGCCGUCGUGCUGCCGGAGCUUUCCCUCAACUUCUCCUCUCCCCUUGCUGGAUCAAGAAGGAGGAUACAUCCCCGGGUUGUACGUGUGUUGAACGCGGAGGCGCCGUCCGUUUGGCGCUAGAUCGGAUCUUCCGCGAUAUGAAUCGCCGCGAGUACGACUCCAUCAACCGCGUUCUUGUAACGCUUCCGCUUAGCGAUCUUCAAGGGUAUGAAGAUCCACUCCCUCCCUCUCGUUGCUAGCAUCUCCUAGAUUGAUCUUGGUGACACGUAGGAAAUUUUUGAAUUAUUACUACGUUCCCCUACAACAUUUUCCUGUUUUACGCUACUUUGCCAUAUUUGCUAGUCGAUGCUUAAUUGGUCGUGGAAAUAGCGGAGACUUCAGUGUUCCUGAUAUUAUUAUUCUACUCCAUGCCUUAUUCGGUGAUAAAAAAUUUAGUAUGGGUGCCGUUAUUGCUAAACGGUUAAGCCUAAAUCGUACAAAGGGCUCCAUGUUUGGAGGUAUUUAUGCUGCACGCCUUGCUAGACAUUUUGAGAUACCUAUUAGGCAUUAUGAGAAAGAGGAGACAAUACAGCCUCUUACCUUUUUAGAUUACAGGAGCAUGGUAGCGCAUGAAUUUAUUGUUGACAACGAUGAUAAGAUGCUUCUGUAUAACCUGAGAUUUAAUAAGAAACACAAUGAGAUUAUUACCUUGCCUGCGCCUUCUUUGUUUGAUUUAACUGCAGGCCAUUACCUUGUCUUACCGUCGGCCGUGUAUGCGCAUCGAGGCCAGACAUCAGCUCCAAAGCCUGAGCCGGAACCACCACUGGACCCUUAUCGUCCAUCAUCUUAUCAGUGGGAUCCGGAGCAGAUCGCCAGCCAGUGGCAGUACGAUGACACUCCUCAUUACACCGGGGAGAGUAGCCGCGAUCCAUGGGCAUAGACCAACUUAGGCCAAAAGCCUAAGCUUGGGGGAGUACGUAUUUCUCACCGACUUUACAUUCAUGUUCACACACUUAUUCUAGUUGUCGGUGCUCAUACUUUUUCAUUGUACUAUCCAUGCUAGUUUAACUUCUUUUUCUAGCUUUCUUCUUGUGUGUUUAAUAAACCUUAAGAAAACAAAAAUAAUUAGUUAGUUUAAUUUCCAUGCUUGUAGUAGUAAUAAAAUGAAAACCCACAAAGAUUUCUCGUUCUUCUUUUACUUGUUGGGAGCUUUCCCGUGUAAAUAGUUUAUUUCUUUUCUUUUUUUCUGGGGGUCGAGAGGAGAAGACCAUAAUGAAAAUGUUUAGUGGCUCCAAUAUGCAUGAUUGUUGAUUUAACCAAGAGCCGAUAUUACCUUGUCUUCUCCCUUGAAUUGAAUGCUUGCAGAUUCCAGCUUAGUCCAAUGCACGUGCACUAUUAUUAUUAUACACACCGUUCGGUCGUGCAAGUGAAAGGCAAUAAUGAUGAUAUAUGAUGGACUGAUUGAGAUGAGAGAAGCUGGUAUGAACUCGACCUCUCUUGUUUUUGUAAAUAUGAUGAGUUCAUCGUUCUUGAUUCAGCCUAUUAUGAAUAAACAUGUUUGCAAUAACAAUUGGAGAUUAUAGUUGCUUAUGCCAUGCUUAAUUAGCUAGGAGCUUAUAAUGGUUUACCUUGCAUGCCAACAUGCUAUUAAAAUGGUUGUGAUGUGGUAUGAUAGGGUGGUAUCCUCCUUUGAAUGAAUUGAGUGACUCGACUUGGCACAUGUUCACGCAUGUAGUUGAAACAAAAUCAACAUAGCCUUCACGAUAUUUAUGUUCAUGGUGGAUUAUAUCCUACUCAUGCUUGCACUCAGUGUUGAUUAAUUUUAAUGCAUGUUCAUGACUGUUGUCGCUCUCUCAGUUGGUCGCUUCCCAGUCUUUUGCCAGCCUUCAUCUGUACUAAGCGGGAAUGCUGCUUGUGCAUCCAAACUCCUUAAACCCCAAAGUUAUUCCAUAUGAGUCCACCAUACCUUCCUAUAUGCGGUACCUACCUGCCGUUCCAAGUAAAUUUGUAUGUGCCAAACUCCAAACCUUCAAAUGAAAUUCUAUUUUGUAUGCUCGAAUAGCUCAUGUAUCAACUGGGGCUGUCUACAUCUUUCAUGCUAGGCGGGUUAUUCUCAAGAGGAGUGGACUCCGCUCCUCAUUCACGAGAAAAUGGCUGGUCACCGGGAUGCCCAGUCCCAUGCUUUAAGAAAAUCAAAUCAAAAUAAUUGCAAACAAAACUCCCCCGGGACUCUUGUUAGUUGGAGGCACUCGUUGUUUCGAGCAAGCCAUGGAUUGAUGCUUGUUGGUGGAGGGGGAGUAUAAACUUUACCAUUCUGUUUGGGAACCGCCUAUAAUGUGUGUAGCAUGGAAGAUAUCGCCAUCUCUUGGUAGUUAUGUUGACAAUGAAAGUAUGCCGCUCAAAAUAUUAUUUAUCUUUAUUUUAAAACCGAGCUCUGGCACCUCUACAAAUCCCUGCUUCCCUCUGCGAAGGGCCUAUCUAUUUACUUUUACGUUGAGUCAUCACCUUCUUAUUAAAAAGCACCCGCUGGAGAGCACUGCUGUCAUUUGCAUGCAUUACUAUUAGUUUAUACUGGGUAUGACUUGACUGGAUCUCUUUUACCAUGAAUUACAAUGUUUAGUCAGUCCUUGAUCUUUAAAGGUGCUCCGCAUUUAUGUUUUGCGGUCUCAGAAAGGGCUAGCGAGAUACCAUCUUGUCAUAUCAUAUUAUGAUUGUUUUGAGAAAGUGUUGUCAUCCGAGUUUUAUUAUUAUUGCUCGCUACUUGAUUAUGCCAUUGAUAUGAGUAAACACGAGACCUAAGUGUUAUUGUGAAUAUGGUUAGUUCAUAAUCUUUGCUGAAAACUUGAAUGCUGGCUUCACAUAUUUACAACAACAAGAGCAAACAGAGUUUGUAAAAGUUUUUCUUUAUCACUUUCGGUUUGUCAACUGAAUUGCUUGAGGACAAGCAAAGGUUUAAGCUUGGGGGAGUUGAAACGUCUCCAACGUAUCUACUUUUCCAAACACUUUUGCCCUUGUUUUGGACUCUAACUUGCAUGAUUGAAUGAAACUAAUCCAGACUGACGCUGUUUUCAGCAGAAUUGCCACGAUGUUAUCAUUGUGCAGAAACAAAAGUUCUCGGAAUGACCUGAAAAUCCACGGAGAUUAUUUUUGGAAAAUAAUAAAAAUACUGGCGAAAGAAUCAAGGCCAGGGGGCCCACACCCUGUCCACGAGGGUGGGGGGGGCGCCCCCUCCCCCUGGGUGCGCCCCCCUGUCUCGUGGGCCCCCUGGAGCUCCACCGACCUGAACUCCAACUCUAUAUAUUCCGUUUCGCGGAGAAAAAAAUCGGAUAGAAAGUUUCAUCGCGUUUUACGAUACGGAGCCGCCGCCAAGCUCUAAUCUCUCUCGGGAGGGCUGAUAUGGAGUCCGUUCGGGGCUCCGGAGAGGGGGAUUCGUCGUCGUCGUCAUCAUCAACCAUCCUCCAUCACCAAUUUCAUGAUGCUCACCGCCGUGCGUGAGUAAUUCCAUCGUAGGCUUGCUGGACGGUGAUGGGUUGGAUGAGAUUUAUCAUGUAAUCGAGUUAGUUUUGUUAGGGUUUGAUCCCUAGUAUCCACUAUGUUCUGAGAUUGAUGUUGCUAUGACUUUGCUAUGCUUAAUGCUUGUCACUAGGGCCCGAGUGCCAUGAUUUCAGAUCUGAACCUAUUAUGUUUUCAUGAAUAUAUGUGAGUUCUUGAUCCUAUCUUGCAAGUUUAUUGUCAUCUAUUAUGUGUUAUGAUCCGACAACCCCGGAGUGACAAUAAUUGGGAUACUUCUCGGUGAUGACCGUAGUUUGAGGAGUUCAUGUAUUCACUAAGUGCUAAUGCUUUGUUCCGGUUCUCUAUUAAAAGGAGGCCUUAAUAUCCCUUAAUUUCCAUUAGGACCCCGCUGCCGCGGGAGGGUAGGACAAAAGAUGUCAUGCAAGUUCUUUUCCAUAAGCACGUAUGACUAUAUUCGGAAUACAUGCCUACAUUACAUUGAAGAACUGGAGCUAGUUCUGUGUCACCCUAGGUUAUAACUAUUACAUGAGGAAUCGCAUCCGACAUAAUUAUCCAUCACUGAUCCAAUGCCUACGAUCUUUUCACAUAUUGUGCUUUGCUUCUUUACUUUUCCGUUGCUACUAUUACAAUCACUACAAAACCCAAAAAUAUUACUUUUGCUACUGUUAUCAUUACUAUCAUAUUACUUUGCUACUAAAUACUUUGCUGCAGAUAAUAAGUUAUCCAGGUGUGGUUGAAUUGACAACUCAACUGCUAAUACUUGAGAAUAUUCUUGGGCUCCCCUUGUGUCGAAUCAAUAAAUUUGGGUUGAAUACUCUACCCUCGAAAGCUGUUGCGAUCCCCUACACUUGUGGGUUAUCAAAGAACACAAGGAGCAUUUGCGUUUAGUUCUCGAGAAGCUCAGGGAACAUCAGUUGUAUGCCAAGUUCAGCAAAUGUGAGUUUUGGUUGAAGGAAGUUGGAUUUCUUGGACAUGUUAUAUCAGGAGAAGGUAUAGCAGUGGACCCCCACCAAGGUUCAGUCUGUCACCGAGUGGUUGGCACCCACCUCAGUUGGAGAGAUCCGCAGUUUUCUAGGACUCGCGAGAUACUAUCGGAGAUUUAUUGAGAAUUUCUCCAAGAUUGCGAAGCCUAUGACGGCAUUGUUGAAGAAGGACACCAAGUUCCAUUGGACUGAAGAAUGUGAAGCAAGUUUCCAGGAGUUGAAGAAACAUUUGACUACAACCCCAGUGAUGAUUCUGCCGGAUAUACGCAAGGAUUUCCAAGUGUAUUGCGACGCCUCUCGCUUAGGACUUGGAGGAGUACUUAUGCAAGACGGAAAAGUUGUUUCAUCUGCCUCACGACAGCUUCGACCGCAUGAGUUGAAUUAUGCCACGCAUGAUUUGGAGUUAGCAGCUGUAGUGCAUGCCCUCAAGACCUGGAGACAUUUUCUUAUUGGAAACCGUUGUGAUGUGUACACGGAUCACAAGAGUUUGAAGUACAUUUUUACUCAGAAGGAGCUGAACCUCAGGCAGAGGAGAUGGUUGGAGCUCAUAAAGGAUUAUGAUAUGAAGUUGCACUAUCAUCCAGGAAAGGCCAAUGCCAUAGCAGAUGCUUUGAGCCGGAAGAGUUAUGUCAAUACCCUCGUGAGCGGAGGAAUGCCAAAGUAGUUAGCAGAAGAUCUCAUGGAGCUUCGUUUGGAGAUAGUUCCUAGGGGUUUUGUUGCAGCAUUGGAGGUUCAGUCAACAUUAUUGGAAAAGAUUCGAGAAUCUCAGAAGGAUGACAAAGAAAUUGCCGAGGUAAAGGAGAAGAUGAGUGAAGGAAAAGCCAAAGGUUUUCGUGAGGAUGAGCAUGACACAUUGUGGUUUGAGGACCGUGUAUAUGUGCCCAAUAAUGCAGAGAUCGGGAAGUUGAUACUACAGGAGGCUCAUGACUCACCAUACUCGAUACAUCCCGGAAACACCAAGAUGUAUUUGGAUUUGAAGGAGCGUUUCUGGUGGACCGGAAUGAAGAAGGAUAUUGCCGAGUAUGUAGCCGUAUGUGAUGUAUGUCAGAGAGUGAAGGCAGAACAUCAGAAGCCAGCAGGACUACUGCAGCCUAUGCCGAUACCCGAAUGGAAGUGGGACAAGCUUGGCAUGGAUUUUAUCACCGGAUUAUCCAGGACCAGAUCGGGAUAUGAUUCUAUCUGGGUAGUAGUGGACCACUUGACCAAAGUAGCUCACUUUAUCCCAGUGAAAACCACCUACACAAGUGCGAAGUUGGCCAAGAUAUACAUGACCAGGAUCGUAUGUCUGCAUGGAGUUCCGAGGACCAUCGUAUCAGAUAGAGGAACACAGUUUACUUCAAAGUUUUGGCACCGGCUGCACCAGACUUUGGGAACCAGGCUGGAGCUCAGUAUAGCUUUUCACCCGCAGACAGAUGGACAGACCAAGAGAGUCAAUCAGAUUCUGGAGGACAUGUUGAGAGCUUGUGCGCUAGAUUACAGAUCUAGUUGGGAUGACAAUUUGCCAUACACGGAGUUCUCGUACAACAACAACUACCAGGCCAGUUUGGAGAUGGCACCGUUCGAAGCCGUGUAUGGAAGAAGAUGCCGAACACCGUUGAUGUGGGAUGAAGUUGGAGACCGCGAGUUGUUUGGACCGGAUUUGAUUAAGGAGUCCGAAGAGAAGGUUAAGCUGAUUCGAGAUAGACUGAAGGUUGCUCAGUCCCGACAGAAGAGUUAUGCAGACUCGAAACGCAAGGAGGUACUCUAUGAAAUCGGAGAUAGAGCAUAUCUGCGAGUGUCGCCCCUGCGAGGAGUUAAACGUUUUGGAGUUAAUGGAAAGUUAGCCCCGAGAUUUGUAGGACCGUACCGUGUUUUGGAACGCAUGGGAGAGGUUGCCUACAAAUUGGAGUUACCUGAAGGACUGUCAGGAGUUCAUGAUGUGUUUCACGUUUCCCAGUUGAAGAAGUGCCAUGUAGAGAUGGCCGAUAUUCCUCUGAGAGAUACAGUGCCCCUAGAAGCAAUUCAGUUGGAUAGUGAUUUGACAUAUGAGGAGAAACCUGUCAAGAUUCUCGAGUUUGCUAGCCGAGUUACUCGCAGCAAAGUUAUCAAGUUUUACAAAGUUCAGUGGAGCCACCAUACCGAGGACGAAGCCACCUGGGAACGAGAGGAUGAUCUACUCAAGGACCACCCACACCUAUUUUCUAGCCAACCCGAAUCUCGAGGACGAGAUUCGUCUCAAGGGGGGUAGGUUUGUAACAUCCCAAAUUUUCAAUUUGGAAUGUUAUACAUAGGUCAUUCAUGCAUAUCAUAUUUUAUCGCAUUUCGUUUUGCGAUCCUCGAAAUUUUAAGCAACUCAAGGACCCACGGAGAGAGUUGGGGAUUUCACGUUCUUCAUAUUUGAAUUUUAUCAAAUAUUGAAACAAGGAUCACUUUGGUUUUAAUUAUUUUUCUCUCCGAAAAUAUUCCAUAUCAAAAUAUAUGAGAGGAGAUAAUAUGACUUCUCCAAAAUAAAUGAAAUAUUGGAGGAAAAAUAUUAAAAUCAAAUAAACAUUUUAUUUGGAUUUUAAUUGCGAUUUUAUUUGAAUUAGAAAAAUAUGCAUUUUUGAAAAAAUUUGCAUUUUAGGGCCAAGAAAAUGUUCACCUUGUUCUAAAUAUUUUAUUUAGAUGGUGAAAAUUUGUUUUGGUAUUUUUAGAUUUUUAUUUUAUUUUCUAGGAUUUUUCCGGUCAAAUCUGUUUAAGAAAAAAAGCCACCGCCUCCGCUGCCAUGCCCGAGUCCGGCCGGGACACGGGCAAGCCACCGUUGCCCCCCGGGACUCCUCUCGAGGCCGCGCCCCCUCCCGCAAGACGCCUCCCUUCCCCCUUAAAGGCCGAGCCCGGGGCCCCCCNNNNNNNNNNNNNNNNNNNNNNNNNNNNNNNNNNNNNNNNNNNNNNNNNNNNNNNNNNNNNNNNNNNNNNNNNNNNNNNNNNNNNNNNNNNNNNNNNNNNNNNNNNNNNNNNNNNNNNNNNNNNNNNNNNNNNNNNNNNNNNNNNNNNNNNNNNNNNNNNNNNNNNNNNNNNNNNNNNNNNNNNNNNNNNNNNNNNNNNNNNNNNNNNNNNNNNNNNNNNNNNNNNNNNNNNNNNNNNNNNNNNNNNNNNNNNNNNNNNNNNNNNNNNNNNNNNNNNNNNNNNNNNNNNNNNNNNNNNNNNNNNNNNNNNNNNNNNNNNNNNNNNNNNCGCCCCGCCGCCGCGUAAGUGCCCCACGCCUGCCUCGCCGCACCGCUGCCGCAAACCGCCAGAGCCGCCCCGCCGUUCGCCGGAGGUACCCGCCGCCGCCGCCGCCGUUGUCGUUUUUUUCGGUUAACCAUUCAGUUUUUUUAGAGACCCAAGAUCUAGUUUUUUUAUAUAUAUAGAUCGGUUUGGUUUUUUUUCCCGGUUUAGUUUUUUAGCGGGCAUUCGUCCGUACGUUCAUUUUAAUGAACACCGUUCAUUCGUUAGCCGCAGACAGCGAACGUUCGUUCAUUAGCCUGUUCGUCAGUUUUUUCUUUUUCCAGGGUUUUUCCGCGAUUAUUUCCGAUCGCGUUUUCUGCCCUAAUCUUUGAUCUAGUAUAACUCUUCGCUCGCUUAUCCAAAUCAGAUGAAACAAGCGCCUAGAUCUUCAUCUUGAAGUCCUCUUUCUGUUUAACCAACUUGAACAAGAUUUUGGUACUGUAAAAUUUGACUUUAGUCCAGAUUAGUAAUCGGAUCUUGUUUCUUUCACAGUUUGAGUUUCGUUGCUCCGUUCGGUUUGAUUCUUUUUGCAAUCCGGAGUUCUUCAGUUGAACUUUCUGGUUAGAUCUUCUUAUUUGAGUUUUAGCUAUGCAUCUUGCUUGAUUUCUUAUGUACGCUAUUGUUUGUGUGCGAUAGAGUUCCCGGAGUGCGAAGCGUGCUACUAUGAGUCUCCAGGAUUUGCAGAUCGUCAGCAAGGCAACUAACACCCUUUAUUACCCAGUUUUUAUGCAUUAGUUACAACCCUCACACAUUGCAUGAGUAGGAUCUCUUAACAUGUGGGUUUGGGAAGUAGUUGAUGAGGUAGAACCUAUUGCCCUUUUAUUAUCAAACCUUGGGAGUUACUUCUACGUUAUGCUUUUAUUGCCAUGCUAUGCUAGUAGACGUGGAUUGGGUGAGUAUCCAUGACAGAUGUGAGUUUGUUAAUUAAUGGUUCAACUUAAGGUGGCAAUUUAAUACACAUCUGGGUGGAUUGCUUGUGGGCACCUGGAGAAUCCAGUGUUGUCCUAGGAUAUCCCGGAGGACCCGUGUGAUCAUCCUACGGCCCGCCACCCAGGCUCAAAGGGAUUAUAAGAUUAUUCAUGCUAGAAACUUCCGUGUGCAGCCACAAGCCAUUAUGGGCUCUGGCAUAGUUGAGUAUGUUGUGUGACCUCUUUCAGUGGUGGGCUAGCAGAUGUAGAGGGAAAGUAGGUGUAACUGUCCACCCAGAGUAAAGAGUUAAUGCUUCUGAAAGACUGUGUCUCGGUCAUCCGUUUCUCAAACAUCAUGCAGUGCAAGAAAUUCAACGGAGGAGAUCGAGUCUUGUGGGGAAAAGUACGCAAACCUCUCCAGAGUGUAUAAACUAAUCAUGGUUAGCCGUGUCCCCGGUUAUGGACAUUUUGAGUAUCUGGUACUUGAAUUAUUGAUUUGAUCUCAUCACUCUAAACUAAGUUGUUGGGUAUAAUGAUUACUUUAAUUGGGAUUGAGUUGGAGGAACCUUCUCAAUGAUGUUUCAACCACCAUGAUAGUUAAAUAAAAUAUAUUCCUUUAUUGUAGGAAAAAAUUGGCUUUUCGCAAAACAAUAUAACCAUAGAGCCUCCACCAGCCAUAUAUGCAUGUAGUGAUAGCAUUUAUCUGUUCAUUGCUCUACUGUGUUAUAUUGCCAGCAUAUUCCAUGUACUGACCCAUUUUCGGGCUGCAACGUAUCAUGUUGCAGACUUCUAAGACGAGGAGUAAGGUGCACUAGGUCGUUUGUCAUGCACUCAGCUAUGUCAUUGGAGUUGAUGGACUCACUUUAUCUUCCAAGCCUUCCGCUGUUAUCUUAUUUAGAUGGUCUUAAGCCAUAUUUAUUGUAAAAAGUUCUCUUUUGAGACAUUCGAUGUAAUAAGUGUGUGAUUGCUACUCUGUUAUAAAUCCUUCGAGUACUGUGUGUGUCAGCAUUACCGAUCCGGGGAUGAUAGUGAACACAGAGACUUGACCGUCUGAGGUCGGGUCGCUACACAUUUCUUCUAUAAUGGCCCUAGUAUCAACAACUACCUGACUGUCGCAAUAUACACUGAUUAUUUCCAUGCCAAAGCGAUCCUUGUGCAAAUGUGGCAACUUAUAUUGAUUUCCUCCUUUGUCUUACAUAACUUCAAACAUAACUGCUUCUAAUGUGAUAAAGCUUCUGUGCAACUUGUGGGGAUCAUAGUUCUUGAAUUCCUCUUCCACACCCUGUACCAGUUCCUGGAUGUUUGUAGGUGACCUGCAGUCGGUUAGAGACUGGAGAGAGUUAUGGAAGCAGAGGUCUGAACAAUUGAAGUCAGGACUAUUUGGGGGCUGUUGUAGCAAUCGGAUGUCAAGAUCAGUUUGUUCCACAGCUUCUCGAAAAGCUACAUCAUUGGGAAGGACACGAGGCUUUGCGUUAUCCUGUUGGAUGAAUAUUGUGGCUCCCUCAUCAUUGUCAGGCCACCUAUAUAUCUUGAAUUGCCGGGAUAACCUUAUUGAUGAGAUAAUCUCUACACACAGGCCUUGUUACUUUCACUGAUGUCAACACUUUUGUUCCCUUUGCUCUAUUCUGACUUGUCGGCACCGCCUCAGUUUCUUCGAUGAAUGCCCAAAUGCCGAUUUUCCCAUCGAAUGUUAGCUCCCCCUCAUUGUUAUAUCGUGGCCUGGCCACAGCAGUUAGGAACAUUACCUUCCCAAUGCUGUUAGUGUUUGACACGGUGCGCUUGGGUUUAGGUUCUCCUGGAAGUACAUAAUAACUAUUCUUCACUCUCGUCAUGCCAAACCAUUUUUCAUCUAUGUGAACCAUAUUGGUCAUUGGUUUGAACAUAGCCUAGGAAGUUGAGAUCGAAUUGUCAUCGAGCAUGGACAUGGAAAAUUUCAAUCUCGUCAGCUUGUUCUCUGGCUUGAGGUGAUGCUUCACAGUGCUUGUGAUGCGGUUGAGCUCAUUCAACUGGAACCUCUUAUGUAGGGUCGAUCGUGCCACACCUAGAGACCAUGCCAGAGAUCGAAUUGUCCUUCUUUUAUUCAGUGGGAUUGGUGAGGUCCUCUCUGGAUCCAGCUCCUUUCUCUUUCGGCCAACUCUUCUUGGCUUCUUGCUUGAGACAUCUACUUCUUUGCCCUCGGCAAUCUGAUUUUUGGCGUCUUCCCAGAUUCUUUCAACAGAUCGUACACUUAUGUUCAACAGGGUUGAGACUAGCAGCUUGUCGUCUGGUUGAAUAGAUCCAUCUCUCAGCUCGAUUACUAGCAAGGCAAAGUAAACACCAUGCCUCUCCUUAUCUGACUAUUCUUGUCUUUUUUGUUUACCUGCUUCAUCUUCUUGAUCUUCUUCGUCUCCUUGAGCUUGUUCAUCUUCUUGAAGUAUCCAAUUCAUAACUUCAUCCUCUUCCUCUUGAGCUUCUUGAUGCAUCCAAUUCAUAGCUUCAUCUUCCUCCUCUUGAGGCAUCAUGUUCAAAUCCGUAGCUCCAUCUUCUCCCUCUUGAGCUUCUUCCCCUUCAGGGACCCAAUUCAAAUCAAUAUCUUCAUCCUCUUCCUCUUGAGGCAUCAAGUUCAAAUCAAUAGCUCCAUGUUCUUCCUCUUGAGGCAUCAAGUUCAAAUCCAUAGUUAUGUGCUCCUGCCAUCAAUGACAAAAGAUGAGUACACCAUGGUACCAUAACAAGAAUAUACACACACAAAAAGAGUAUUCUAAGAUCAACAACAUCAUUUUUCUUCAGAUUUGGAGUCUAUUUUGCUUAUACAAUCAGGAUGCAUAAUGUUAUAUAUGUUGAAUCAAGAAGGAAAAUAGAUAGAUUAUACUUAAAGCUCAUUUGUGCAAAGCAAAUACUGAGAUAUGCUGAGAAGUGAAUAUAUUUACUACUCCCUCUGUCUCAAAUUAUUUGAAGCUCUAGCUUUCUCCUAACUCCUUAGUCAAACUUCCCUAUUUUUGACCAAGUCUAUAGAAAAAUGUGCUAAUAUAUACAACAACAAAUAUAUUUAUGAUGAAUCUAAGGAAACUAAUUCGGUAUUGUAGAUGUUCAUAUUUAUUUCUCUAAACAUGGCCAAACUUAAAGAAGAUUGACUUAGGACAAAGCUAGAGUUCAAAUAAUUUGGAUCAGAGGGAGUAGGUACCAGUCAUGAAAAUGAUAAAAUGGUUUUAAAAUACGGAAUAGGAUAAACUGAUAUGACCCAGCUUAACCUUGAAUAUGUUUGGUGUGGUUGAAAUUGCAUGUGUUGUUUUGAAGUGAUAUGCACCAUUAGAUUACCUUACUAUAGCAUGGACAUGGAUAAUGUACCAAAUGUUGAUGUGUUAAUCUCAAUAAAAAUACCAUCAAUUGGUUCAAUUUAAAACACCUGCUUUCAUCUGGUUCAAGAUAUUUUAGACAUGAUCACUUAACACAUUGCUUUAUUUCUAGGAUUUUUAAGUAACAUAAUCUCUCAAAUCAUAUAUUCUAGGUUCAGGAAAGCUGGCUUGAGGAUGUCUAACAAUGGAGUUUGUGACCAUUUGCUUUCAUUACUUACUUCCCCUUUCUUUGUGAGUAUGAAAGAAGUGUUGAAAUUAUCUCAGAAAUUGUUGUCAAGUGGAACUAGAUACUCCUAAAAUUAUCCCAGAAACUGAACUAGCAGACUGAAUAUAUACACAUGCUCUGAAUUUUACAGUCUCCAUCAUCACAAACUGAACUAGAUACUUUACAGUUUGCAUCAUCACAAACUGAAUAUAUACACAUGCUCUGAAUUAUACAGUUUGCAACAAUUUUACAGUUUGCAAACUAACUAGAUACUCCUAACAAUGAACUAGCAGAGUGAAUUUUAUAGUUUGCAUCAUCUGAAUUUACAUUGGAUUAAAACAACAAUUUGCAUCAUCUGAAUUUUAUAGUGUCACUCUGAAUUAGCAUCAUCUAAUCUCUGAAUUAAUCCUGCUCUCUUUAAUUUUCUGAUCAGCAGCAGUAAAUCAACAGAACUCUUAUGAAAAAGUAUUGUACCUUCUAGAGAGUGCAGAGGAGUAGCAGCAACAGCAGCAUGGGUAGGAUCAAAGGAGGAGCAGCAGCAUGGGCAGUGGAGAAGGAGCAGCAGAGGCGGCAUGGGCAGAUCUCUACCAGCGACAGAGGAGAAGCAGUUGCACGGGUGCGUGAGCAGGGGAGAAGGAGCAGCACGGGUGCACGGGCGUGGGAGAUCGACGAGGGCACGCUGGAGAUCCAGGAUCACGCGCGCGAGCUCCUGGUCCACCGGAUUGUGGAGGCAAGCUCCGGUGACGCCGGUAGGGGAUCGCGGUGGCGCACGCGCGGGAGAUCCAGGAGUAUGCGCGGGAGCACGAGGGAGGACGCACACGAGCUUGAGGAGGAUGUGUGGGGUCUCUAGGAGGGACGCGCGCAGCCUCGAGGAAGACGUGGCAGGAGAUUCCGGCAAAGCCCGCAGGCAGCAGAAGGGGACCGCGGCAGCACUGUUCUGGGCUGCGGUGGCGGAGGAGGUAAUUGCCGAUGGCGGCGAGAGCAGGUACUUGGCGACGGAGGAGGAGCUCAGCUGGGCUCGCCGGCCCCUGGCGAAUCACGCAGCUGGGCGGCACCGGCCCCUGGCGACGCGCAGGCGACGGCGGAGGAAGAAGACGGGGCGGAGGGACUUGUUUGAGACACUUUUGAAACAAUGAGUUUUUUUGCGAAUUUGCCAAUGAACUAUGCGCGCGAUGAUAAUUUCGGGACGGAGGGAGUACAUUUUUCAUGCACGACGGACUCGCCCAGCUCGACCAUCACCGAAAGAUGAAAUAUCUGUGAGAUAGUGUCCAUCAUGAUUAAUUUGCUUAGAAGUAAUCUUUGAUGUUUGAUUCUUAUGCUAUUUUUCAUUGUGUGAUGAAAGAUGUUAGCACCAAUCGAUUUCGUGGCUAUGGCUUCCUCCGACGACGUAUCUUUCAUUAGGGUCGACUCCACGGUCAAGGAGAAGCUCGCCGAGGGCCGCUUGGCGGUACUCAUUGAGAAGCACCCGCAGCUGAUCCUAAUAAAGUAUUUUGAGGAUCUGGCCAAGAAGAAUCCCCUAGCCAAGGAGAAGAAGGCCCCACCACGUAAGGAGUGUGAUGACUCGAUGCCAUUGAGUCCACCGACGUACAUUCCCAACGAUGCUUGGUCCUCCACCGUGGGGGAUGCCCCUACGUGCUCUGACUCCACGAUCACCAGUUUCACGCACUACACCUUUGAGUAGUCCACCUAGAUAGUUUGGCGUUGAUUUAGUGAUGUAGUCAUGUAGGUGCUGAUAUGGACUUCUUAGAUUGCCACUUGCGAUGCUUUUGAUUGUAUGAGUUUUUGAUUGUAUGAGUGAUGAACGCUUACGUGGAUUAUGUAUGAUGUGUUAUUUUUAACCUUGCAUUAUUUCUCUACCUUUUUUUCUCUAUCUUUGUAGAUGAUGUGGUAUGCGGUGUACAGAGGUAGAUGUCCAGGAGUCUACGAUUCAUGGCCUGAAUGCAAUGAACAAGUGAUUUACUAUGAAGGCAGCUCCCACGACUCGUUCAAUAGCAGAGAGAAGACAGAGUAUCAUUACAAUCAGUAUGUGCUUAAGCAGAAGAGAAAAUCUGAAUUAGUGGGUUCAGUGGAUGGGUUGACUGGAUGUGCUAGCCAGAAACGGCUUAUCUGGUUUAGUGGAUGGACGAACUUGAUAAUUCUUCUUCAGUUUGUGAUAAAUGUGGUGUUGCUUUUAUCUUGUGGUCGCAUAUAGAAAUGCAUUGACCACUUUAUUGUUUAGUAAGUAGGCAUUUGUACUAAAGAGCUACCAGCUUGUGAUCUCAAAAGAAGUUCGUCUGAACUAUUUUAUGUAAUGGUUAUGUGAGUUUGUUGUUAGAAAUUGAGACAUGAAAUGCUUGUUUGUGUAUUGUAUAUAAAUUUUUGUGGCAGGGAUCAGGGGGAAAGCAGUAAAAAGUUGUCUGGGAACGGAUCUUUGCCGAGAGCAGCCCUCGGCAAAGUGGCACGCUGGCUGUUGGCUGUGACGGCUUUGCCGAGAGCCACUCUCGGCAAACAGCUGACGGAGCCAGCCGACGUGAAAGUUACUUUAUUUUGCCGAGUUGUACUAUUUGGCUCUCGGUAAAGUCUUUGCACUGGUAGAAAAAAGGCCUUUAGUCCCGGUUCGCAAAGGCCUUUAGUCCCGGUUCGCAAAGGCCUUUAGUCCCGGCUGUGCAACCGGGACUAAAUAUGCGCGACUAAAGACCCCCCCCUUUAGUCGCGCCUCUUACGAACCGCGACUAAAGGCUUUAGUCCCGGUUCUCGUGGCUAACCGGGACUAAAGGCCUCCUCCGCAGGUUUAAACCUGGUUUUUUUGCGAAUUUUUUUAAUUUUUUUAUUUUCAAAUUUCUGAAUUAUUUUAACCUCUAAUCUCUAAUCACCACCCCUCAUCACUGCUCAAUUUAUCCUCUAAUCUCUAAUCACCCCUCAUCAUUCCAAAUCAUCUAACUUCCCGGACGGUCACCCAUCCUCUCACUACUCCAGCCCGAGCACGCUUAACUUCCGGGUUCUAUUCUUCCUCGUUUCCAAGUCUGCACUUGUUGUUUUCCUGACAAUACUAGGAUGUCAAUUCUAUUAACCCUCAGGAAUUUAGCUUGAGCAUGAAGUGACACAUUUCACUGUUUGAGUUUGAAACUAUUGUUUUAAAAAACAAUAAUUAUUUAGUAACACUAAUAUUUCUGGAAUAAUUAGUUUGACCAUUGUUUGACCACUGUUUGACCAUAGUUUGACAAGAUUUGACCAUAAUUUAAAAAAAACUGAAAUAAUUAUUUAGUAACACUAAUAUUCUAGAAUAAUUAGUUUGACCAUUGUUUGACCACUGUUUGACCGCUGUUUGACCAGUUUUGACCAAAAUUUUAAAAAACUGAAAUAAUUAUUUAGUAACACUAAUAUUCUAGCAUAAUUAGUUUGACCAUUGUUUGACCACAGUUUGACCACAAUUUGAAUUUUUUUGCCUUUCCAGAUCUUAAAAGCCCCGUAUCUUUUUUCUGUUAGGUUUUUGAGGAUUUUGAAAAUGUUUAACAGGGUUCCCCCGGUUAAAUUCGGAUGUAACUUUUCGAGUAGAUGAUUUUUCAUAUAAAAAACUUUUUCAUCCGAGUUCGUAUGCAAAAGUUAUGCCCAUUUUAAGAAUUUGCAGAGAGAUUUUGCAAAUAAAGUCGAAAUUCAUAUUUGUUAAUUUUCCCAACAACUAGACCACAUAUCACAUGAGAAACUUAUUUUAUUUUAUUUUUUUUGACAUUUCCAUCAUUUUCUUUUGGUUUUUCUAAAACUGAAAAGGCGGUCCGGGGGGGAUAGUUUGAUGGGCCCUUUAGUCCCGGUUGGUCUGGCCAACCGCGACUAAAGGACUAACCUUUAGUCCCGGUUGGUCUGGUCCUGGGGGGGGGAGUUUGAUGGGCCUUUAGUCCCGGUUGGUCUGGCCAACCGCGACUAAAGGACUAACCUUUAGUCCCGGUUGGUCUGGCCAACCGCGACUAAAGGCCUUCGGGCCAGCCUGAGGACCUUUAGUCCCGGUUGGCCAGGCCAACCGCGACUAAAGCCCCUCCCGUCCGCCAGCUGUCGACCGAGCGCGCUGGGCCCAGAUAGUUGGUCGCGGGUCUCCUCCCGAACCGCGACUAAAGACCCCUUUGGUCGCGGUUCGAUUAUUUUGGGGACUAAUGGGGCGUAUGAAAGCCUCUUUUUCUACUAGUGUUGCCAAGUGCGCGUACCCUGGCUCACGGCAAAUUCCUGUUUGUCGGACAGGUGUACGCCGGGUGGCUUCUGCCGAGUGUAGCAUUCGGCAAAAGCUUUGCCGGCGGUUAUAGGCCCUUUCCGGCACUCGGUGUAUAACUAGAUUCCAGUAGUGCAUGGUUCCCUAUCAACAGUAGUGUGGGAGCCGCUCCUAUAUCUAUUGAAGAGAAAUGUUAGCCAUGGCCAACAUAAAAAGUCUGCCAAAGAACCCGCCUGUCAAUUGUGGUGAAGAGAGAAGAAACAACGUUUAAGGCUGUUGACUUUUGGUCUAGGGCUGGGUUGCUAACAAACCGGGCCAAAUGCCCCGGACAAUUUUUGUCACAUACUACACUAGGACUAGAUGAUCUUGCCACGUGCAACUUAAUACUAUUGGGUGAAAAUGUCAUAUAAGGAAUAGAAUUUGGAUAGAUGCCAAGUAGGAUAGAAAUAUUUUUUAGGGCCAAAUAGCAUAGAAAUACUUUUUAAGGCCAAAUAAGGAAGCAUAUUUCAAAUAUGACCCAAUGAGGAAGUCCCUUAUAAAUAGGACGCCGAUAAGUGUCACACGUGUGGGCGUUAGGGAGACUGCCCACACAUUUUGUGUGGUGUGUAAGAGGAACAGUGUGUGGGCAAAACAAGUAAUGCCCACACACCUCUUUUUCCCUCCCGAUCCCUCUCACGCGCGUGCAUGUGGGCGAAGUAGAUAGCGCCCACACGCCCCGUAUGUCAGGCCUCGUACCUCGUGGUCCCGCACGCCACGCGUGACAGUCACCGCGCGCCCGCAGUUGCCAUGGUCCAGACCCUCGUCCAUGUUCGUUUAACUGCAGUUGCCAUGUCGCUGAACUACGGUUGCCAUGUCGGACAACUGCAGUUGCCAUGGUUGCUCAACUGCAGUUGCGAUGUAUGGUCUGGUCUACUAGUUGUCAUGAUUUCAAAACUUUAGGAGUUGCCACAUACUAACACUAGGCAGUUGAGAGAGUUGCCAUGUGCUCACAAGCAUGCUAGGGCAGUUGCCAUGUAAAAUGGACGAGUUGCCAUCUGCUUACGUGCACGUUAGGGCAGUUGCUAUGUACCAUGCAAAAACACAUGGCAACUCGGUAAAGAGAGAGUUGCCAUCUGCUUACGUGCACACUAGGCAGUUGCCGUGUACCCUGUAAAAACACAUGGCAACUCUGGUAAAAAAAAGUUGCCACCUACUUAUAAAGCACACUAGGGCAAUUGCCAUGUGCGCUGCAAAACAUAUGGCAACUAGCAGCUUGGGUGUGAGAGAGGAGACGGGCGUGUGGGCGAGAUGGCAAAUGCCCACACACUAGCCCUUGUGCGUGCAUGGAAAGUGGCGUGUGGGCGAACUGCUGAACGCCCACACACCAGCCCCUCCCGUGUGGUGAAACGGCCGUGUGGGCGACCGAAUGAACGCCCACACACCAGGCCAGUCCUACGUGGCACUAGAAACAUGCCAAGAUUCAUGCGCUCGCGAACAGACGCGAAUCCACGCGUGUGGGCGAGAUGUAAACGCCCACACGUGUGGGCGUUAACAUUUCCGUAUAAAUAAUAUAAAUUCACGCCUCACCCCUACAUAUCUAAGAUGCACACAUCCAACCCAACAUAUGUCUGGCACAAUAAAAGACGGCAGUACAUCAAGACGUAGAUAUAUGAUUGUGUGUGUGACAUAUAUAUCUCUAUCUUGUAAUCGGUGUGUUUAAAAAAAUCUCACGACACUACCUACUUAGCCGUGCAAGCAAGUAAAGUAGGACCAGAACAUAUCUCAAAUAAAAUAAAAUAAAAAUAACACACAAGAACACAUAGCUGAAACAAACCUUUUAGAGCUUUUGUCUAAAUUGCGGCGCCGCAAACUGGUUGGGUCCAUCUGAAACCAGGUGCAUGCAUGCACGAGGGCUCUUUUAUACGAGACAACACAUACACAGGCAUGUCUCGUGUCUCACCCGCCUCCGUCGUCAUCUUCUCCUUCCUCAUUUUUCGUUAUGACAUAUAUAUUAGCUACCUCGGUUGUCUCAACACCCAGGUUUAGAAAUAAAGGUAGCAUUGAAAGAGCAAGAACAACUUCUUGUAUAUAUCCAUGGCGGACCGGAGCAACAUCGGAAACCUUGGGUUGGCGGCGACAGUCGCCGUGGUUUCAACCGGCAUCAUCCUCAUCUCCUUCCACCUCAUCCGCCGCCUCAAGGAUGAUACCAAGCUAGACAAUAUCGCGGGUGAGCUAUACAUGUUGAUACAUCACUAGCUAGUUGUAUAUAUUAACUACAGAAUCAAAGCAGCUUCAUUGUGUUUUUCUUGAUGUAAAUAUCAAGCUAUAUGAUUAGAUUACUUACCGCACCUUCCUUGUCGAUCAAUGCAUGCAACACAAUUGAUGUGAAUAGCGCAAGAACAACAGAGCAAGACGAUCAAGAAGGAGAUGCAGCUCACGGAUGACGUGUUGGCGGAUCUCUUCCCGGACGAUGAGGAGUUCUCCAGCUGGCUAGAGGGUAUGACAGUGACUGGUGGCCUCAUCCAGUCACCGCUACGAAGGGUCCCUCGAUUCGACAAUUUGGCAGACGCGCUUAAUUAAUUAGCUUGUAUUGCAGCUAGUCGGACAACAAGAAAUUAAGCAACAUUUUGCAUGCACAUCUAGUCAAGUUAAUUGUUAUUACCAUCUCAUUUAUAAUAAUCAAGGUGUUUAAUUCGAGAUGCAUCAAGAAUGGAAGAUGCUUGGGGACUCACUACAAUCUUGUGACAACUGUUUUGGUAGGCAUCCAGUGUUUGAUAAAUGACAAGGUUCUUUGUGUUGGCGUGAGAAAGAUGCGAUUACUCACAUACAUUUAUUUUUUGAUGAAACAACCCACGAUGUGUCUUUUGUCGCCAAAGAAACACCGAAAAAUCCAGCCAAGUGAGAAAUGAUCCGCUUACAAGGAAAACAUGACUGAAUAGCCAUACGUGGCUCGAUUAUAUUGACAAAAACAUGUGAAACCCCUCGCAACAUACCUACCGAAAAACUAGGCCUAGAGAGCACUACCAAAACAAGCCAUGCCAGCAAAAGGCUACUCAGUAUAGCACACAGACAAAUCACACUCUAAACACCUCCAAUAAUGCUACCAUCUGUCUUUCAUCACGCCCAUGACCUCAAGUAUCCGAAUUCUCAGCCGCAAUGUUAACCUUUUUAGGGCAUCCUAGUUCAAUAGUUUUUUGGCCUUGAUAUCCUUCAUAUGGUCUAUUUUAAGCACCAACAUAUAAACAUAAUACAUUGUUUCAUUAUAUAUGUAAUGAAGUGACAACUUGAAGUUUUCAUUGUGAACAAUAUUUUCAGUUGAAGUUGAAUUAAAGGAGAACAUUUUUUUGUUAGGAAGUAUCCAACCUGUAUUCGCACACGGUGAUAGGCCGGUAUAUAUACUUGUACAGGUGUAGGAAAUAUGCAGAAAACCCCUUAUACAAUGGGGUAAAUACAAAAGGCUAUAUGGUUAUAUUUAUAGUACUCUAACACCCACCCUGAAACUCAUGGUGGAUCAACAACACUGAGUUUGGAGAGAUAGAAGCCAUGUCACGCUCUAGUCUUGGCCUUGAUAAGCAAAUUCACCAACUAUAACUUGGAAGGCACAUACUGAAGAGAAAUAACCAGAUCUUGCAUACCAGCGUGCACAAAAAAAGUAUCAACACAAAUAUACUUGAUGAUCUCAUGCUUCAGAGGGUCAUGCGCAAUGCUAAUAGCACAUGUACUAUUAGACUAUAGCAGAGUAGGUGUAGUGACAGAAACACCAAAAUCCCAAAGUAACCAAGUCACCUAUGCCGUCAAAAGAGCCAUAGCUCACAACUCAGCCUCUGCACUCAAACGGGAAACUAAAGUCUCUUUCUUUAUCUUCCAAGCAAUAAGAGAACCACCAAGAAAAACACAGCAAGCAGAAAGUGAACGGCGAUCUGAGUAGCCUGAAGCUGUAAUGAACUGGAGCGAGGAAAGAAUAAUUGGUGAUAGAUCGUGUCAUGAAGAUAUCAAAGAACACAAAGAAGGUGACUAUAGUAGACAAAAGUGGGACAAGAGACAAACUGACCCAAAAUAUGGACCGAAUAAGAGGUAUCUGGACGAGUGAUAGCUAGAUAGACAAGACUCCCAAUAGGAUGACGAUAACACGUCGGAUCAGACAAGGGUUCACCAUCAGUAUCACAGAGGUGAACAUUGAGAUCCAUAGGAGUCUCAACUAUGCACUCAUUAGUAAGAGUAGCACGAGCAAGAGGAUCUUGGAUAUGUUUUUCCUCAAAAAUAAAAAAGCCAUCAGUGGUAGAAGAGACCUCAAUCCCAGGAAAGUAGCAAAUAGGUCAAGAUCAGACAUAAGAAACUGCUCACUAAGACGGGUCUUCACAAAGCCAAUAUACUCACGUUCGUCACCAGUGAUGAUCAUGUCAUCAACAUAUAGAAGAAGAAGAGUCUGCCCAUGAGCAGAAAGGUGGGAAACAACGCUAGAUCAUAAGCCCUCGCUGAAAAACUACCGGUAGUCCCCGCAGAGGCAAAACGCUCAAACCAGGCACCAGGGUCUUGCUUAAGGCCAUAGAGAGAGUGACGAUGAUGGCAUACAAUGCCAUCAAGAACAAAAUACUUAGGUGGUGGUUUCAUGUAAACCUCACGCAACUAACCAUUAAGAAAUGCAUUCUUAAUAUCAAGCUGAGACAAGGACCAGUGGCAAAUAUAGGCCACAACAAAAAGUGUACGAACAAUGGUCAUAUGGGCCACAAGAGCUAAAGUCUCAUUGUAAUCAUGACCAUGCUCCUGCUGAUAGCCACGAGCCACAAGAUGAGCUUUGUAACGCUCAAGAGAACCAUGGGAGAGAGUAUUAACCUUGUAGACUCACUUAAAAUUGAUGGGACGGACACAGGGAGGAAGAAAAACAAGAUCCCACGUGUUGGUGCGCUCAAGAGCAGCAAGCUCCUCUACCAUCGCAAACUGGCAUCCGGGAUGAACAACAACUUCACUAUAAGAAGUUGGCUCAAGAAUAGUAGCGCUAAGGCUUGGAAAACUAAGGCCAACAACAUGCGGAAGUGGACGAGGACGCAAGCAAUAAAUAGGUUGAGACGAGGAAGAUGGCACAUCAGAAGUAGAUAGAACAUCAGGAGAUGCAUCCACAACAUGCAAAUGACGAGUAUAAAAGUGACGAAAUGAUGGAAGAAAGCGAGGAGGAAUCACCGGGGUAGACUCAGGUAAUGGAGACGGAUAAGUCACCGGGGAUUAAGGUGUAUAAUCAUGUGAGAAUGCAAGGUGAGGAAACCAUGGGAAAUGGCGACAUCAGAUCUACAACAGUCGGAGAAGCAGGGGCAAUAGGACAGAUGGACAAGAGCUCAAUGGGAAGGAUAGGUGUGUCGGGAAAGUGAGGAAAGAUAUAUCCCUCCACUGAAAAGGUUGAGGAAGUGGGAUGCAGCUAGAAGGGACAAGAAUCAUCAAAAGUAACAUCCUGAGAAAUACACAUCCCACGAUCAAUAGGAUCUCAGAAACGUUCACCCUUAUGCUCAUCACUAUAAACUAAGAAGACGCACUCAAAAGACUGAGCGGAUAGUUUGGUGCGUUCUCGAGGGGCAAGAAGAGCAUAACAAACACAACCUAACAAAUGAAGCACUGUGUAAUCAGGAUAAUGACAAAAGAGACGCUCGAAAGGAACACCAUCCUACAAAGCAGUGGAAGGUUGAAGAUUGAUGAGAUAGGUGGAAGUGGAGAUACCAUCGGCCCAAAAGUGAGGCGGAAGAGAAGUGGUGAUCAUCAAUGCACGAUCCAUCUCAAGAACAUGAAAAUGCUUGCGCUCAGCCAUGCCAUUCUGAGCAUGAGCAUGAGGUCAAGAGAACUGAGCAAGAUUACUCUGCUCAGUAAGAACUCCAUGCAACAUGUUGGAGAUAUACUGUCCAACAAAUUCAGCACGGAACACAUGAAUAGGCGUAGGGAACUGAGAGUGAACAAGGGAGCUGGACCUCACUACAAGAAGACAUAAAAUAUAGUCACAUGUGUCGAGAGAAAUCAUUUAUAAAGAUAAUAUAGUAGCAAUAACCUCCCUUCGAGACAAAGGGAGCUGGACCCCAGACAUUAGAGUGAACAAGGUCGAAAAGACGUUGAGACACUAUCUUGCUAUGAGGAUAAGUUACUGGAUCUGUUUACCAAGACUACAACCCUGACAGUCUAAAGACACACCACCAGAGAUGGAUCCAAGAAAGCAACGUCGAACAAAAGAUGAGAGACGAGAGCCACAGAAAUGACCGAGGCGAUGAUGCCAUUGCUGAAAAGAGCUGGUAGACAAGGCAACAAAGAUGGAGAGACUAGCUGCGGUAGCAACGGAGGGAUGGUGAAGCAAAUCAAGCUCCAAGAAACUCUGAGAGUCACUAUGCGGGAGCCAGCACCAAGGAGAGCACCAGUGUGAUGAUCUAGAACAAAACGAAAGUCAAUGUCCAGAAUGACCUGAGUACCAGAGUCAACAAUGUGACCACCAGAAAGGAGCUGCACGGUAAGUCGAGGAACAUGAGCAACAUCAAGAACAUGAAAAGAUGAGGUGCUAAGAAUGCCUCGACCAUUAACUAGGAGGGAGUUACCAUCGACACUAAGAACAUGAAUAGGACAAUCAAGAUCUCGAAUAGAAGACAAAGUGGAUGAAACAUGAGUCAUAUGAAAAGAUGCUCCCGUAUCAAGAAUCGACAAAGAUGUACCUGACUGUGUAGAAGGUGGUCUUAGAAUGCCAGAAGAAUCGAUAGUAGAACCAGCAGAACCCAUCAAUGAAGAACCAGAUGACACAUCUAGCAGGCAUCGAAGUCGCAUAAUCUCCUCCUCAGUUAGGGGCUCAAUAGAAAAUGUCGACGUAGAUGCACCGGGUAAUUUGGAGCCAGGGGCAAUCAACAGAUUGCAAAGUCAAAUAAUCUCGUGUUCAGUGAAGUACAUAGCUGAAGUAGUCAGCGCAGAAACAUCGAAAAAGGAGCGGCCACCAUCACCGGUGGAAGCCGCCAGAGGAGGCGUUCUAGAACGACCAGUAUCUUCUGCAGAGGCCGAAGUAGGAGACGAGGGCUCAUGCAUAUAAUACCCAAGCGCCAAUGGAAGGCGCGUGGGUGAGGCGCUGUUGAAGGAGUCAUAUGCACCAUCAUAGCAGGUAAAAGUUGCGGGAGAAGUUGGUGUAGAGAGAAAAUCAUCUUGUGCAGAAGUCGUAGGAGUAGUCGUAGAAGAGCGAGCAACACAAUGUGCAGAAGUCACCAGAAGACAAAGUUGUCUCAUGCAACCUUGCCUUCAGUCACUGUCGCACCACCUUCGAUCCAGCAACAACAGGUCAGAGGCACCAUGUAGCACUUGCCAAUAGUAGGCAUGAUUUGACGUCUCCGUAUGAGAGGUUGUGCGUAGCACCCGCCGGUGACUUCACCUGUUGACCACACGCAUGACUUGACACCUUCGGAAGAGACGCAUGUGUCUCCCGUCGAGCCGCAUUGAACCCAAUUUGUUGGUGGAGGGGGCGUCCCAUACCGCCGCCAGCUUCAUAGAGGUCGUCCCCACCUCGAGACCUAGCUUUCGCAUCGUCCGCACGACCAUGGUGACUACCAUCGUCGAAGAACCAGGUCUGCCAUCCCAAAUGCCAAACUCCUGCACGUCCAUCGGAUGAUGUCGCAACGGGCAGACAAUGACCAGAUCCGCCGCCACUUGAUCGGCCACCGUCCUGCCACGUUAGUAGCAUAAGAGCAACUCUAGCAGAACCGCAUCCCGUCGGCCCGCAAAACGCGUUUGCAGUUUGCGGAAAACGUCCUUUGCGGGCCGGCAAGGACGGUGAUCCAUCUCCAUCGUAUCUACUUUUCCAAACGCUUUUGCCCUUGUUUUGGACUCUAACUUGCAUGAUUUGAAUGGAACUAAUCCGGACUGACGCUAUUUUUAGCAGAGUUGCCAUGGUGUUAUUUUUGUGCAGAAAUAAAAGUUCCCGGAAUGACCGGAAACUUCACGGAGAUUAUUUUUGGAAUUAAUAAAAAAUACUGGCGAAAGAAUCAAGACCAGGGGGCCCACACCCUGUCCACGAGGGUGAGAGGGGGGCGCGCCUGCCCCCCUGCCUCGUGGGCCCCCUGACGCUCCAUCGACCUCAACUCAAACUCCAUAUAUUCACAUUCGGGGAGAAAAAAUCCAGAGAGAGGGAUUCAUCAUGUUUUACGAUACAGAGCCGCCGCCAAGCCCUAAAAUCUCUCGGGAGGGCUGAUCUGGAGCCCGUUCGGGGCUCCGGAGAGGGGAAUCCGUCGCCGUCGUCAUCAUCAACCAUCCUCCAUCACCAAUUUCAUGAUGCUCACGGCCGUGCGUGAGUAAUUUCAUUGUAGGCUUGCUGGACGGUGAUGGGUUCGAUGAGAUUUACCAUGUAAACGAGUUAGUUUUGUUAGGGUUUGAUCCCUAUUAUCCAUUAUGUUCUAAGAUUGAUGUCGCUAUGAUUUUGCUAUGCUUAAUGCUUGUCACUAGGGCCCGAGUGCCAUGAUUUCAGAUCUGAACCUAUUAUGUUUUCAUGAAUAUAUGUGAGUUGUUGAUCCUAUCUUGCAAGUCAAUAGUCACCUACUAUGUGUUAUGAUCCGGCAACCCCGAACUGACAAUAAUCGGGACCACUCCCGGUGAUGUCCGUAGUUUGAGGAGUUCAUGUAUUCACUAAGUGUUAAUGCUUUGGUCCGGUACUCUAUUAAAAGGAGGCCUUAAUAUCCCUUAGUUUCCAAUAGGACCCCGCUGCCACGGGAGGGUAGGACAAAAGAUGUCAUGCAAGUUCUUUUCUAUAAGCACGUAUGACUAUAUUCAGAAUACAUGCCUACAUUACAUUGAUGAACUGGAGCUAGUUCUGUGUCACCCUAUGUUAUAACUAUUGCAUGAGGAAUCGCAUUCGACAUAAUUAUCCAUCACUGAUCCAAUUCUUACGAGCUUUUCACUUAUUGAUCUUUGCUUAGUUACUUUACCGUUCCACUGUUACGAUUACUACAAAGUUGCUACUGUUACUUUUGCCACCGUUACCGUUACUUCCAUACUACUUUGCUACUAAAUACUUUGCUGCAGAUAUUAAGUUAGCCAGGUGUGGUUGAAUUGACAACUCAACUGCUAAUACUUGAGAAUAUUCUUUGGCUCCCCUUGUGUCGAAUCAAUAAAUUUGGGUUGUAUACUCUACCCUCGAAAACUGUUGCGAUCCCCUAUACUUGUGGGUUAUCAAGACUAUUUUCUGGCGCCGUUGCCGGGGAGCAUAGCUCUAUUCUUUAAGUCACUUGGGUAUAUCUGUGAUACGUCCAUUUUGCAUCAUGCUUUUAUAUCAAUAUUUAUUGCAUUAUGGGUUGUUAUUACACAUUAUAUAUCAAUACUUAUGGCUAUUCUCUCUUAUUUUACAAGGUUUACCAUGAAGAGGGGGAAUGCCGGCAGCUGGAAUUCUGGUUGGAAAAGGAGCAAAUAUUGGAAACCUAUUCUGCACAGCUCCAAAAGUCCUGAAACUCCACGGAACUUAUUUUUGGAAUUUAUAAGAAUUACUGAGCGAAAGAAACACCUGAGGGGGCCCACACCCUGGCCAGGAGGGUGGGGGCGCACCCACCCCUACUGGGCGCGCCCCCUGUCUCCUGGGCCCCCUGGUGGCCCUCCGGUGUCCAUCUUCUGCUAUAUGAAGGCUUUUACCCUGGAAAAAAAUUGUGGGCAAGCUUACGGGACGAAACUCCGCCGCCACGAGGCGGAACCUUGGCGGAACCAAUCUAGGGCUCCGGCAGAGCUGUUCUGCCGGGGAAACUUCCCUCCGGGAGGGGGAAAUCAUCACCAUCGUCAUCACCAACGAUCCUCUCAUCGGACGGGGGUGGAACAUUGCAUCCCGAUUUACACCUUAUCUUUGUGGAUGAAGUUUGUGGAUUAUUUAAGCUUGCAGGUAUUCCCGAUGAUGUUGUCAAAAGGAAGGUCUUCCCUUUAUCUUUGAAGGGAGAUGCAUUGACAUGGUAUAGGCUAUGUGAUGAUACGAGAUCUUGGAAUUAUAAACGAUUGAAGUUGGAAUUUCACCAGAAGUUCUAUCCUAUGGAUCUUGUUCAUCGUGAUCGUAAUUACAUAUAUAAUUUCUGGCCUCGCGAAGGAGAAAGCAUCGCUCAAGCUUGGGGGAGGCUUAAAUGAAUGUUAUAUUCAUGCCCCAAUCAUGAGCUCUCCAGAGAAAUGAUUAUUCAAAAAAUUUAUGCUCGGCUUUCUCUCAAUGAUCGCACCCUGCUCGAUACUUCCUGUGCUGGUUCUUAUAUGCUGAAGACUAUUGAUUUCAAAUGGGACUUAUUGGAAAGAAUUAAACGCAACUCUGAAGAUUGGGGUUCCGACGAUGGUAAGGAGUCAGGUAUGACACCUAAGUUUGAUUGUGUUAAAUCUUUUAUGGAUACCGAUGCUUUUCGUGGAUUUAGUGCUAAAUACGGACUUGACUCUGAGAUAGUAGCUUCUUUCUGUGAAUCUUUUGCUACUCACGUUGAUCUCCCUAAGGAGAAGUGGUUUAAAUAUAAUCCUCCCGUUGAAGUAAAAGUAGUUGCACCUAUUACAGUUGAAGAAAAGACUGUUACCUAUAGUGAUCCUAUUGUUCCUACUACUUAUGUUGAGAAACCUCCUUUUCCUGUUACGAUAAAGGAUCAUGCUAAAACUUCUACUGUUGUUCGUAAGAGUAAUACUAGGACUUAUACACCUCCUGAGCAAAUCAAAGUUGAACCUAGUAUUGCUAUGGUUAAAGAUCUUUUGGAUGAUGAUUUAGAUGGGCAUGUUAUUUAUUUCUGUGGUGAGACUGCUAAUAUUGUUAGACCAGAUACUAAGAUACAUAGACUUGUGGUAGGCAUGCCUGUUAUUUCUGUUAAAAUAGGAGAUCAUUGUUAUCAUGGCUUAUGUGAUAUGGGUGCUAGUUCUAGUGCAAUACCCUAUGACUUAUAUAAAGAAAUUAUGCAUGAUAUUGCACUCGUUGAGUUGGAAGGUAUUGAUGUUACUAUCAAGCUUGCCAAUAGAGAUACUAUUUCACCAGUUGGGAUUGUUAGAGAUGUUGAAGUCUUGUGUGGGAAGGUUAAAUAUCCCGCUGAUUUUCUUGUUCUUAGUUCCCCACAAGAUGACUUUUGUCCCAUUAUUUUUGGUAGACCCUUCUUGAAUACUGUUAAUGCUAAGAUUGAUUGUGAAAAGGAUACUGUCACGAUUGGCUUAGAUGGUAUGUCUCAUGAGUUUAAUUUUGCUAAGUUUCGUAGACAACCUCGUAAUAGAGAAUCACCUAGUAAGGAUGAGAUUAUUGGUCUUGCUUCUAUUGCCGUGCCUCCUACUGAUCCGUUAGAACAAUAUGUGCUAGACCAUGAAAAUGAUAUGUUUAUGAAGGAGAGAAGGGAAAUAGAUGAAGUGUUCCUUAAACAGGAACCUAUGCUGAAACACAACCUUCCCGUUGAAAUUCUUGGGGAUCCCCCUCCACCUAAGGGUGAUCCCGUGUUUGAACUCAAACCAUUACCUGAUAAUCUUAAGUAUGCUUAUCUUGAUGAAAAGAAAAUAUAUCCUGUUAUUAUUAGUGCUAACCUUUCAGAGCAAGAAGAAGAAACGUUAUUGAAAACUCUGAAGAAGCACCGUGCUGCUAUUGGAUAUACUCUGGAUGAUCUCAAGGGCAUUAGUCCCACGUUAUGUCAACACAAAAUUAAUUUGGAGGCCGAUGCUAAACCAGUUAGAGAUCCUCAACGACGACUGAAUCCCAAGAUGAAAGAAGUGGUAAGAAAGGAGAUACUAAAGCUCCUUGAGGCAGGUAUAAUUUACCCCGUUGCUGAUAGUGAUUGGGUAAGCCCUGUCCAUUGUGUUCCUAAAAAGGGAGGUAUUACUGUCGUUCCUAAUGAUAAAGAUGAAUUGAUCCCGCAAAGAAUUAUUACAGGUUAUAGGAUGGUAAUUGAUUUCCGUAAACUAAAUAAAGCUACUAAGAAAUAUCAUUACCCUUUACCUUUUAUUCAUCAAAUGCUAGAAAGACUAUCCAAACACACACAUUUCUGCUUUCUAGAUGGUUAUUCUGGUUUCUCUCAAAUACCUGUGUCAGCAGGGGAUCAAUCAAAAACUACUUUUACUUGCCCUUUCGGUACUUUUGCUUAUAGACGUAUGCCUUUUGGUUUAUGUAAUGCACCUGCUACCUUUCAAAGAUGUAUGAUGGCUAUAUUCUCUGACUUCUGUGAAAAGAUUUGUGAGGUAUUCAUGGAUGAUUUUUCCGUUUAUGGAUCCUCUUCUGAUGAUUGCUUGAGCAACCUUGAUCGAGUUUUGCUGAGAUGUGAAGACACUAGUCUCGUCUUGAAUUGGGAAAAGUGCCACUUUAUGGUUAAUGAAGGCAUUGUCUUGGGGCACAAGAUCUCCGAGAGAGGUAUUGAAGUCAAUAAAGCUAAAGUUGAUGCUAUUGAAAAGAUGCCAUGUCCCAAGGACAUAAAAGGUAUAAGAAGUUUCCUUGGUCAUGCCGGUUUUUAUAGGAGGUUCAUUAAGGACUUUUCUAAAAUCUCUAGGCCUCUGACUAAUUUAUUGCAAAAAGAUAUUCCUUUUGUCUUUGAUGAUGAUUGUGUAGAAGCAUUUGAAAUACUUAAGAAAGCUUUGAUCACUGCACCUAUUGUUCUGCCACCUGAUUGGAAUUUACCUUUUGAAAUUAUGUGUGAUGCUAGUGACUAUGCUGUAGGUGCUGUUCUAGGGCAAAGAGUUGAUAAGAAAUUGAAUGUUAUCCAGUAUGCUAGUAAGACUUGAUACAGCCCAGAGAAAUUAUGCUACUACUGAAAAAGAAUUCUUAGUAGUCGUGUUUGCAUGUGAUAAGUUUAGACCUUAUAUAGUUGAUUCCAAAGUUACUAUUCACACUGAUCAUGCUACUAUUAAAUAUCUUAUGGAGAAGAAAGAUGCUAAGCCUAGACUCAUUAGAUGGGUUCUCUUGCUCCAAGAAUUUGAUUUGCAUAUUAUUGAUAGAAAGGGAGCUGAGAACCCUGUUGCAGACAACUUGUCUAGGUUAGAGAAUGUUCUUGAUGACCCACUACCUAUUGAUGAUAGCUUUCCCGAUGAACAAUUAGCGGUCGUUAAUGCUUCUCGUACUGCUCCUUGGUCUGUUGAUUAUGCUAAUUACAUUGUUGCUAAAUUUAUACCACCUAGUUUCACAUACCAGCAAAAGAAAAAGUUCUUUUAUGAUUUAAGACAUUACUUUUGGGAUGACCCACACCUUUAUAAAGAAGGAGUAGGUGGUGUUAUUAGACGUUGUGUACCUGAGCAUGAAUAGGAACAGAUCCUACGCAAGUGCCACUCUGAAUCAUAUGGAGGACACCACGCUGGAGAUACAACUGCACAUAAGGUACUGCAAUCUGGGUUUUAUUGGCCUACUCUCUUCAAAGACGCUCGUAAGUUUGUCUUAUCUUGUGAUGAAUGUCAAAGAAUUGGUAAUAUUAGUAGACGUCAAGAAAUGCCUAUGAAUUAUUCUCUUGUUAUUGAACCGUUUGAUGUUUGGGGCUUUGAUUAUAUGGGACCUUUUCCUGCCUCUAAUGGUUACACACAUAUUUUAGUUGCUGUUGAUUACGUUACUAAGUGGGUAGAAGCUAUUCCAACUAGUAGUGAUGAUCAUAACACUUCUAUUAAAAUGCUUAAAGAAGUUAUUUUUUCGAGGUUUGGAGUCCCUAGAUAUCUUAUGACUGAUGGCGGUUCACAUUUUAUUCAUGGUGCUUUUUGCAAAAUGCUUGCUAAGUAUGAUGUUAAUCAUAGAAUUGCAUCUCCUUAUCAUCCUCAGUCUAGUGGUCAAGUAGAAUUGAGCAAUAGAGAGCUCAAAUUAAUUUUGCAAAAGACUGUCAAUAGAUCUAGAAAGAAUUGGUCCAAGAAAAUGGAUGAUGCAUUAUGGGCCUAUAGAACUGCAUACAAAAAUCCUAUGGGUAUGUCUCCAUAUAAGAUGGUUUAUGGAAAAGCCUGUCAUUUACCUCUAGAACUUGAACAUAAAGCAUAUUGGGCUAUUAAAGAGCUCAACUAUGACUUCAAACUUGCCGGUGAAAAGAGGUUGUUUGAUAUUAGCUCACUUGAUGAAUGGAGAACCCAAGCCUAUGAGAAUGCCAAGCUAUUCAAAGAAAAAGUCAAACGCUGGCAUGACAAAAGGAUACAAAAGCGUGAGUUUAACGUAGGUGAUUGUGUGUUGCUAUUCAACUCUCGUUUGAGAUUUUUUGCAGGAAAACUUCUCUCUAAAUGGGAAGGUCCUGACGUUAUCGAGGAGGUCUAUCGUUCUGGUGCCAUAAAAAUCAACAACUUCGAAGGCACAAGUCCGAGGGUGGUGAACGGUCAAAGAAUUAAACAUUAUAUUUCAGGUAAUCCUAUCAAUGUUGAAACUAAUAUUAUUGAAACCGUAACCCCAGAGGAAUACAUAAGGGACAUUUUCCAAAACGUUCUAGACUCCGAAAAGGAAUAGGUAUGUGGUACGGUAAGUAAACCGACUCCAAAACAAUUCUAAUGGCAAUUUUUAUCAGUUUUGGAAUAUUUUAGAAUUUUAGGAAGAAAGAAGUAGUCCUGGAAGGACACGAGGCCUCCACGAGGGUGGAGGGCACGCCCACCCUUACUGGGCGCGCCCCCCUGUCUCGUGGACACCUCGUGUGCCCCCCGGACUCCGUUUUCUUGCACGUUACGUAUUUUGGUCGGUAAAAAUUCAUUAUAUAAACUCCCGAAGGUUUUGACCACCGUAUCACGCAAAUAUCUUCUGUUUUUGUUUCGAGCUGUUUCUGUCGCAGAUUUAGACCAAGAUGUCUUCUCAAGAGUCAGUCGGAGAGAGUUGGGUGUCUCACCCGACACCAGGCCCAGAAGCAAACAGCGAUGCUUAUCACUUUGGGCCAUCAACGGAGGAUGAGAUGGGGCCGACUUAAAAAGGAUAGAUGCUAUGGAGGAGGAUCAAGAAGUUACCUCUCGCUUCCAAGCAGGAUUUAUGAUGGGGGAACUACGGAGCUCAGCCAUUCCAAACUCGGUCAUCCCUUCCAAUGUUAAAUUUCUUUCUUAUGAAAAUAUGAAAAAGAGUGUCACUUGUUCUCCAGAAGCUAUGCAGCAUCCUUGGGUAAAAGGAGCUUUAGCCGUGACGGGCAAGCUUCGCAAGGAAAUUAUGGACCUCAAGCAACAAGUCAAUAAGCUCGAGGAGGAGAAUCGUAUCCUAAGGGGCAUCAUCGCCAAGAAGAUCACAACACCAACCCUGAAGAAGGAGAUAUAAGCACAUUGGUAUGGGCACUCCCCUUGGCAACUGCCAAGCUUGGGGGAGGUGCCCCGGUAUCGUAUCACCAUCACACUCCUAUCUUUACCGUUUUAUUUAGUUCGAUCAUUUUAGUAGUAUCUUGAUCUAGUAGAUUCAAGUUUUGAUAUCAAUUAGUUUUGAGUUUUGCUUUGUGAUCUCUUUAUGUAAUCGAGUCCGUGAGCUAUCUAUAAUAAAGAUUAGUGUUGAGUCAAGGGCUUUGCUAUCUUGCUAUGAUCUUGAGAAAGUAGAAAGAAUAAAAGAUUUCAUAUUGAUCUUGUGGAUAGUAAUGACUUCACACAUAGAAAGUAUGAGGCAUAAAAGUUGUUGAGAGUUGAUAAACAUAGUUUUGGCAUCGUUGCAAUUAAUAGGAAGUAAUAAGGAAAGAGAGGUUUCACAUACAAAUAUAUUAUCUUGGACCUCUUUUAUGAUUGUGAGCACUCAUUAAGUAUGACAUGCUAAAAGAGUUGACGUUGGACAAGGAAGACAACGUAAUGGUUUAUGUUUUCUCACAUCUCAGUUAAAGUAUAUUGUCAUUGACCUUCCAAACAUGUUGAGCUUGCCUUUCCCCCUCAUGCUAGCCAAAUUCCUUGCACCAAGUAGAGAUACUACUUGUGCUUCCAAAUAUCCUUAAACCCAGUGUUUGCCAUGAGAGUCCACCAUACCCACCUAUGGAUUGAGUAAGAUCCUUCAAGUAAGUUGUCAUGUUGCAGGCAAUAAAAAUUGCUAUCUAAAUAUGUAUGACUUAUUAGUGCAGAGAAAAUAAGCUUUCUACGAUCAUGUUGUGGAAGCAAUAAAAGCGACGGACUGCAUAAUAAAGGUCCACAUACAAGGGGCAAUAUAAAGUGACGUUCUUUUGCAUUAAGAUUUUGUGCAUCCAACCCUAAACGCACAUGACAACCUCUGCUUCCCUCUGCGAAGGGCCUAUCUUUUACCUUAUGUUUUUACUUUAUGCUUGAGUCAAGGUGAUCUUCACCUUUCCCUUUUUCAUUUUAUCCUUUGGCAAGCUCCUCGUGUUUGAAAGAUCAUGAUAUAUAUAUAUCCAAUUGGAUGUAAGUUAGCAUGGGUUAUUAUUGUUGACAUCACCUAAAGGUGAAUACGUUGGGAGGCAACACAAUAAGCCCCUAUCUUUCUCAGUGUCCGGCUGAAACUCCAUAACCACAAGUAUUGCGUGAGUGUUAGCAAUCGUAGAAGACUACAUGAGAGUUGAGUAUGUGGACUUGCUGAAAAGCUCUAUUCUUGACUCUUUCUGAUGUUAUGAUAAAUUGCAAUUGCUUCAAUGACUGAGAUUAUAGUUUGUUAGUUCCCAAUGAAGUUUCUGAACCAUACUUGACAUUGUGAAUUGAUCGUUACUUGAACAUAAGAAAUUACAAGAUGAAAUCUAUUUACGUUGUUGUUAUAAGAAUGAACAUGAUGCCCUCAUGUCCGUAUUUUAUUUUUUUAUCGACACCUCUAUCUCCAAACAUGUGGACAUAUUUUUCGAUAUCGGCUUCCGCUUGAGCACAAGCGAGGUCUAAGCUUGGGGGAGUUGAUACGUCCAUUUUGCAUCAUGCUUUUAUAUCAAUAUUUAUUGCAUUAUGGGCUGUCAUUACACAUUAUAUAUCAAUACUUAUGGCUAUUCUCUCUUAUUUUACAAGGUUUACAAUGAAGAGGGGGAAUGCCGGCAGCUGGAAUUCUGGCUGGAAAAGGAGCAAAUAUUGGAAACCUAUUCUGCACAGCUCCAAAAGUCCUGAAACUCCACGGAACUUAUUUUUGGAAUUUAUAAGAAUUACUGAGCGAAAGAAACACCUGAGGGGGCUCACACCCUGGCCAGGAGGGUGGGGGCGCGCCCACCCCUACUGGGCGCGCCCCCUGUCUCCUGGGCCCCCUGGUGGCCCUCCGGUGUCCAUCUUCUGCUAUAUGAAGGCUUUUACCCUGGAAAAAAUCGUGGGCAAGCUUACGGGACGAAACUCCGCCGCCACGAGGCGGAACCUUGGCGGAACCAAUCUAGGGCUCCGGCAGAGCUGUUCUGCCGGGGAAACUUCCCCCCGGGAGGGGGAAAUCAUCACCAUCGUCAUCACCAUCGAUCCUCUCAUCGGGAGGGGGUCAUUCUCCAUCAACAUCUUCACUAGCACCAUCUCCUCUCAAAACCCUAGUUCAUCUCUUGUAUCCAAUCUUGUAUCAAAACCACAAAUUGGUACCUGUGGGUUGCUAGUAGUGUUGAUUACUCCUUGUAGUUGAUGCUAGUUGGUUUAUUUGGUGGAAGAUCAUAUGUUCAGAUCCUUAAUGCAUAUUAAUACUCCUCUGAUCAUGAACACGAAUAUGCUUUGUGAGUAGUUACGUUUGUUCCUCAGGACAUGUGUGAAGUCUUGCUAUUAGUAGUCAUGUGAAUUUGGUAUUCGUUCGAUAUUUUGAUGGGAUGUAUGUUGUCUCUCCUCUAGUGGUGUUAUGUGAACGUCGACUACAUGACACUUCACCAUUAUUUGGGCCUAGAGGAAGGCAUUGGGAAGUAAUAAGUAGAUGAUGGGUUGCUAGAGUGACAGAAGCUUAAACCCUAGUUUAUGCGUUGCUUCGUAAGGGGCUGAUUUGGAUCCACUAGUUUAAUGAUGUGGUUAGGUUUACCUUAAUACUUCUUUUGUAGUUGCGGAUGCUUGCAAUAGGGGAUAAUCAUAAGUGGGAUGCUUGUCCAAGAAAGGGCAGUACCCAAGCACCGGUCCACCCACAUAUCAAAUUAUCAAAGUACCGAACGCGAAUCAUAUGAGUGUGAUAAAACUAGCUUGACGAUAAUUCCCGUGUGUCCUCGGGAGCUCCUUUCUCAUUAUAAGAAAUUGUCCAAGCUUAUCCUUUGCUACAUAAAGGAUUGGGCCACCUUGCUGCACUUUAUUUACUUUUAUUGCUUGUUACUCGUUACAAUUUAUCUUAUCACAAAACUAUCUAUUACCUACAAUUUCAGUGCUUGCAGAGAAAACCUUACUGAAAACCGCUUAUCAUUUCCUUCUGCUCCUCAUUGGGUUCAACACUCUUACUUAUCGAAAGGACUACGAUAGAUCCCCUACACUUGUGAGUCAUCAAUCUGCUGAUCACUAUGAGGAACUUGAAAGACGAGAAAACCAAGAUCUAUCCCUCAACUACGAGGGGAGGUAAGAAAUUGCCAUCUAGCUCUGCACUUGAUUCUCCUUCUGUUUUGAGUAAACUUGCGACACCUAAACCUGCUUCUGCUAUUUGUUCUGAUAUGUUGCAUGUUAUUGAUGAUGCCACUUCCGCUAUGCAUGAUACUUAUGAAGAAACGACUUCUAUGCUUGAUAAUACUGUGCCACUAGGUGAAUUUCUUGAUGAACAACUCGCUAGGGCUAGAGAGAAUGAAAUUAUUGAAACUGAUAAUAUUGAUGAAAGUGAUGAUAAAGAUUCUCCCCCUAGAUAUGAAUUGCCUGUUGUGCCUGAGGGUUAUGUUAUGGAUGAAGAAACUGCUAGAUACUUUCUUGCUUGCAAUGAUAGAAAUGAUCUUAAGAAAUUAUUAGCUAAGCUGAAAGAAAAAUCUUUGAAUGCUAGAAUGAAAUAUGACCCUGCUUUUGCUACUUCACCUAUCUGCAUUACCGAUAAGGAUUAUGAUUUCUCUGUCGACCCUGAGAUAAUUACCUUGGUUGAAUCUGAUCCUUUUUAUGGCUAUGAAUCUAAAAUUGAUGUGGCACAUAUUACUAAAUUAAAUGAUAUAGCCACCCUAUUCACUAAUGAUGAGAAAACUCGCUACUACUAUAUCCUUAAAUUAUUUCUGUUCUCAUUAAAGGGUGAUGCUAAGACAUGGUUUAAUUAUCUUGAUCCUGGUUGUGUGCGUAGUCCCCAGGAUAUGAUUUAUUACUUCUGCCUUAAGGGAAAUAUAUAAUUUUGUGCAAAUUGAAGAAGAGAGUCUCCCACAAGCUUGGGGGAGGCUUCUCCAAUUACUUAAUACUUUGCCUGAUCAUCCUCUCAAGAAAAAUGAAAUCCUUGAUAUCUUUUAUAAUAGACUAACCCAUGCUUCAACAGACCACUUGGAUAGUUGUGCUGGUUGUGUUUUCAGGGAAAGAACAGUUGAUCAAGCUGAAUUGCUAUUGAAUAAUAUGUUGACUAAUGAGAAUAAUUGGACACUUCUUGAACCAACUCCUAAGCCAACUCUGAAGAAAAGAGGUAUUCUAUUUCUUAGUCCUGAAGAUAUGCAAGAGGCAAAGAAAUCUAUGAAAGAAAAAGGUAUUAAGGCUGAAGAUGUUAAGAAUUUGUCGCCUGUUGAAGAAAUACAUGGUCUUGAUAACCCGACACAGGUAGUAAAGGUAAAUUCCCUCAAUAGAUUUGAUGAAGGUGAUAUUCCUCGUUAUAAGUCUGCUAGCCAGUGCUUGGAUGAGUUUGAUAAUUUUAUUGUUAAACAAGAAAACUUCAAUGCUUAUGUUGGUAGACAAUUGAAACGUAAUGCUUACAUGAUUGAACACUUGAGUGAUUAUAUGUCUAGAGUUAAAGAUUGGACACUAUUUAGGAUUUAAAAAAAAUCGACCAAUUCCAUUCUAUGCAUACAAUCAUUUUAUUCUUACAAUUACAAGAAAACACAAUAGUGAUGGAAAUGUCCUUAUUCCUGAUUCUACUAUCAAACAGUUGCCAUAUCUAAUAUCCCACAAUUUCUCAUUCUACCUAUUCUCACUCCAAUAGUAAGAAAAAUGGAAAGGGAAAAUUCUGCCAUUGAAAUGUCCUUAUUCCUGAGUAAUAUUCAAUGGAACGGUGUAAUUGCACUACAGUCUCAUGGAUUCACUAUGCCGCUUCAACAUCUCAUUAUCCUGCAGCGAUGGAAAUGAGCAACAGCAAGGCAUAUAGAUUUUAUCAAUAAAUGGAGAGGAAGCAUAAUCUCAGAUGAUACAGGAUUUAGUUAAAAAGUACACAUAUAUUUCAGUUACAAAAAGAUAUUUCAGAUGAUACAGAAGCAUAAUCAGCAAGGCAUGGACUAAGAUUCUGAUACAAUGCGAAUAUGCACUAUAAGUACACAUAUAUUUCAGUUACAAGAAGUUAUUUAGUUAAAAAGUGACAAAUAACUGAAUGAAACUCAAACCAUAUAUUUCAGUUACAAAAAAUAUUUCAGCUUAGGAAUGUAGUGUAUAAAUCAGACUAGAUAGAUAACACUAAGCUUAAAUUUUAAAUGCAGUUUAAGUACUAGCACCUACCAACUGAAUAUAGAUUUUCCUUAGUGCAUUUGCACUAGGAAACUAAUCCUAACAUAUCAACAUUUUUAUCACCAUUAUAUCCCGUUGUGAAUCCAAGGAAAUCAACAGUUCUAUAAGAUAUGGCUAGAAAACACUGGACAUAACAGAAAGUAGCCACUUCUUUAUUGUGUGGAAAAUUUCCCAGGAUUACUUCACUAUGGAUUGGAUAAAGAAUCAAUAAGGACAACACCCAUGGUAUAACUCUCACCUUCUUCUGGGUGAAGAAGAAGGUGGCCACCGGCUCGAAGUACUAGGUGACAGGCAUUUCUUCACACAUGUUCCAGUGAAAGCCGGGAUUUGGCGCCAAUUGCCAUAGUCGUCAUGCUCCUGUCACAAGACAAAAAACGGAACUACCUUAAAUCGCUAUACGUUUGGUUUUCUUCCUCAAGCAUGAACAAACAAAAAAAAAA
rnacentral:lncRNA from 1 species